rnacentral:lncRNA from 1 species
UACUUUAUGGUUUCACACGUGAAUCUCAAGGUGCUGAUACUGACGAAUUCUCCUAAAGCAGCGUUGGUACUUGCAAAUUAAUGGUUUCAUCGGAGCAGAGCCAACACUCCAACAGCACCAUAUGGGGAUUUUUUUUUUUAUUGGCGACUCUGUAGACUGUGCUAUCUAGUCUACAUAUUUUUGCAGCCAAGUGAAAGCCUUGAGCUUGUUAUGAACAGACAGAUAUUUUUUGAUGACCCGACAGCUGACCGACUGACCUGCUCGCGAGCUGAACAUUGUUUCCAACUCCAUAAUGUCAUGUACACACGACCUGUCCGACUUGAUUAUGAACUAUCACCAAACUUGUUUUUCGUUUAACCUGGUUUUCUUGCAAAUAACACAAUUAUAGACAAAAUGUGAUGGUGUGAGUUUGAAAAACAAAGAUGACGAAAUUUGUUUCCUGUGCAAAUAUAUUAACUGCACAUUGUGCUAGUUGCAUGAAAAGAAAAUGCGAGAAAGAUACCUGAAAAUGAUUAUAACAGAAAAAGGAAAUCUCAUUUGUACUUUGGUUGCUCAUUGUUCUCUCUGACCGACACACACGCACAUCAACAGAAUUGAAAUCCCAACUCUGGUCCGUUCUGAUGGCUAGCUUGAUAUGAGGCGGAAAUCCAGUCCUUCAAGUCAUGGUCCCAAGUCUUAAAUAAAUAACCUGAAAAAAACUGUUGGCAGGAUUCACAUGGCCUCCUUGUGGGAUCUAGAGGUGAUUACUACUUGAUUAGAUUAAGCCCGACAACCAAGGUUAGAUCUAUGCAGCGUUCCUAGUUAAAUUUUCUCACAAGAGUCAAUACUUGCUGUUUAGGUUCCCACUUCCCAGCCACUUUCUCUGAUCUUGCUUUGCUCGAUCUGCUGUACUACUUGCUGCGGUUUGCCCUGGUAAGCUCCAUGCCACACUGGCAUCAGGAGAUCAAGUGAUUGUUGCAAUUUCUUUCUUUCUAUUCUCUUGAGUUGAUAAACUUAUGCCUGGCUUUCCUGCAGCAUAUCGAUACAUUGUGUCCAUUACUGUUGGCCCGCAGAAGUUGUCCUGCAGAGUGUUGAGGCAGGAAGCAGUUGGUACUAACAUAUCGCUCUCCUUCUCCAGGCCUCAGUACUCUCAUCAAUUGACCUGUGUUCAGGUAUGUUAUUUCAAUGUUCUGCAUCUGUUUUUCAGUGGUAAUUCUUCUUUUCUGAGGUAUUAUUAGAACCACAUAUUUUGUUCUUUCCCCCUUUCUGUAGGUGUAGAGGCGUGGGAUAUCUACGGUUGUUCCUUGGUGAUUGACAGAAAAAUUCUGUUACCUAUUUCCCUGCAUUGAUUUUUCCAGGCAGCUCCAUUUCAUCCCUCUUGGUUUGAGCACGUUGAGAUCUUAAUGCAGCAGUGGGUUGAUCAUCAGAGCAAGAUGCACCUGCAAGAUGAUUACAAUUGAUUUUUCUUAUUGGCUGUUUAUUUCUUGCUGAACGAAUUGCUUGUGAGGUAAGAAAUAUAAUUUUAAUUUAGGUCUUGAAUCUUAGCUUCCACAAAGUGACUGAAACAUGUAAUCACAACUGGAUAGCUAGCAUGCUAGACAUUGAUUCGUUGGCGAGAAAAUUUAUCAGACAAGGAAGAGUUAUGGCUACACCAUUCAUCAUAGAUAAAACUACAACUCUGUAGAACAUUUUCUAAGGUCAGGGAAUUUUUUUGUCAUUGAUGUAACUAAUGGAAUGAUACAUGAUAUAUUAUAAUUAGGAUGCUAGGCAGCUGCCGAUUUUUACAUACACGAUGUAUUGCCCUUCUCUGCAGUUGAGCAGACAAAUAAACGUUGUUAUCAUACAAAACCGAAAUAAAUGUUAAUUUUUACAUGGACAAAUGGGUUGCCCACAUUUUGUGGAAACUUAUACCUAUUUCAUAGUAUAUGUUUCUUUUUUUCCUUCAAAAUGGAAGCUUUAUUACCCAGAACAAAUAGUGUUUGUUUGCUUCUAAUAUUUUCCAAACUAGUAUGAGAAAUCAAUUACUGUAAGUGAUAUCUGAUCGAGCAAUACUGCUAUAGAAUAAGUUAUAACUGUGCAAACUACUUGAGGUUAUGUAUGUAUGAUACCAUGUAACUUUCUAGAUACAUGGUAAUAAAUGUCACUACGCAAACACGCAUUAAAUAGGAAACCUGCUAGCUAACUCAGGAGUUGACCUUCAAUACCUCACCAUGCUAUUGAAUUUGUCGAACACCAGGAUGGACCUACCAGCAUACAUACAAAGCAAAUUAUUGGGGCAGCAUAGCUGAUUAGCUCAGUAUCUGAACGUACUGAAUAUCUUAAUCCAAAAUAAAUAGAGAUAUAUGUUGAUGUCUUUAACCCUAAUAUAAAUUUCAUUUAUGUUGCAUAGUUUUUAAACCAUCUUAACAUAUAUUAUACAUUCAUUGGCAGGCAGCAAAUUUGCAGUUUUCUGGAGCAAGACCCACGCUUACUGCUUCGGCGGAUCUCCCUCCUCAAGUUCAUCUGAUGGCAUCUGUAUUAGAUCCUUUGGUUGGAUCAUGCAUCACAAAGUUGCAAGAAAUCAUUGCAGAUAAGGCAGUGCUAAUUCUUGGUGUAAAAGAUGAACUAAAAAAACUGCAAGGAACAAUGAAACAAAUACGAUGCUUUCUAGAUGAUGCUGAGCAAAGGAGGAUAAAGGAGUCAGCAGUUAACAAUUGGCUUAGUGAUCUAAGAGAUGCUAUGUAUGAUGCUGAUGACAUUGUUGACUCAGCUAGAUUCGAAGGAAGCAAGUUACUGAAAGAUCGCCCAUCAUCACCCGCAAGAAACUCAACUGCAUGUUGUGGCAUUUCGUUUUUAUCUUGCUUUCCUGUUAUUCAGAAGCGUCAUGAAAUUGCUGUCAAGAUCAGAGACCUGAACGACAGAGUUGAGAAGCUCUCAAAGCAUGGAAAUAGUUUUCUACAUCUUGGUGCCGGACCUACUGGCCAAGGUUCAACAUCGAAAGUCAGAGAAACUUCCAAGCUUGUACAACCCAACCUUGUGGGAAAGGAGAUUAUGCAUUCUAGCAAGAAAUUGGUGGAUUUAGUCCUUGCAGGCAAGGAACGGAAGGAUUAUAAGCUCGCUAUUGUUGGAACUGGAGGAGUUGGUAAGACAACACUAGCUCAGAAAAUAUACAAUGACAAAAAAAUAAAACCAGACUUUCAGAAACAAGCAUGGGUUUGUGUUUCUCAAGAGUGUAAUGAAGCUAAUCUUCUAAAGGAGAUUCUCCGCAAUAUUGGAGUGUAUCAAGAUCAAGGUGAAACCAUAGCUGAACUCCAGAACAGGAUUGCAGAAACAAUUGAAGGCAAGAGUUUCUUUCUUGUUCUAGAUGAUGUGUGGAAGUCUAGUGUGAUUGAUCUAUUAGAGGCUCCAAUAUAUGUCGUAGCUUCAUCAGUAAUUUUGGUUACCACACGAGAUGAUAGAAUCGCAAUGGAUAUCCAUGCAGCGCAUACCCAUCGAGUUAACCUUAUGUCAGAAGAGGUGGGGUGGGAGCUACUUUGGAAGAGCAUGAGCAUAAUUGAAGAGAAAGAAGUGCAGAAUCUGAGAAACACGGGCAUUGAGAUUAUUAAAAAAUGUGGUUACCUCCCCCUAGCAAUCAAGGUCAUAGCUCGUGUUUUGACAAGCAAAGAUCAAACAGAGAACGAGUGGAAAAAGAUUUUGAGCAAAAUCAGUGCUUGGUCUGAGAGCAAACUUCACGAUGAUAUAGGAGGAGCUUUAUAUCUGAGCUAUAAUGAGUUACCACAUCAUCUGAAGCAAUGUUUCCUUUAUUGUGCAUUGUAUCCUGAAGAUUCUACCAUCAGUUGUAUCAUAAUUUUCAGUUCAUUUUGCGGUACUUUACAUUUCACCUGAUUUGACUUUUCUGAUUUUUGCAGUUUAUGUUUGGACGGGUAUCAAAUUGUGUGUUACUUUAUGGUUUCACACGUGAAUCUCAAGGUGCUGAUACUGACGAAUUCUCCUAAAGCAGCGUUGGUUCUUGCAAAUGGUUUCAUCGGAGCAGAGCCAACACUCCAACAGCAUCAUAUGGGGAUUUUUUUUAUUGGCGACUCUGUAGACUGCUAUCUAGUCUGCAUAUUUUUGCAGCCAAUUGAAAGCCUUGAGCUUGUUAUUGACUGACCGGUAUUUUUUGAUGACCCGACAGCUCACGUAUAGGUCGGCCGACUGACCUGCUCGCGAGCUGAACCUUAUUUCCAAGUAUUGACAUAAUGUCAUGUACAGACGACCUGUCCGACUUGAUUAUGAACUAUCACUAAACUUGUUUUCCGUAUAACGUGGUUUUGUUGCAAAUAACACAAUUGUAGACAAAAUGAGAUAGUGUGAAUUCCAAAAGGAAAGAUGACUAAAUUUGUUUCCUGUGCAAAUAUAUGGACGUGACAUUAUGGUUACAUGAAAAGAAAACGUGAGAAAAAUACCUUAUAAUGAUAAUAACAGAAAAAGAAAAAUUUCCAUUCUGUAAUUCUGGUUGCUCGACUUCUUCCUCAUUGUUCUCUUUGUCCGACACAUGCGCACAGCACGUCAGCACCCUCUCUUUAUUAAUAGAACUGAAAUCCCAACUCUGGUUGGCUCUUCCCCAUUGGCCCCUUCCAAUUCCAGGCAUCUUCAAGUCAUGGUCCUAAGUCUUCAAUAGAACUCUGGCAGGGUUUUUUUCUCGAGAAAAGGCAAAAGCUUUGCGUCUCGAUGCAUAGAUAGAAAGAAAAAGUUAUGUACAAGGUCACGGAGGACCACACCCGAUUACAACACGACGCGCCUAACUAGGAUCCAGCGGCAGCAGCGUCCCCAGGCCCACAGCUCCCGCCCUAGACCACUGCCGAGCCUCCGUCUUUAUCAGGUCGAGGAGGGAAGCGAUGUUGGGGGGAGUGUUGUCGAAGACAGCAGCAUUGCGGUGUUUCCAGAUUGACCAAGCCGUGAGUAGGAUCACAGACUUAGUGCCUUUCCGAGCAGAAGGAGGGGAGGAGUGGAUAGCUCCCUGCCACCAAGUCGCAAAAGGGGCGCCAACGGCCGGGGGGAUGCAGGUGGAUCGGAUCCAGGAGAGGACCUCAUGCCAGAUAGAGCGGGAGAAAGGGCAGUCGACCAGGAGGUGGUUCAUGGUUUCCAUGGAUUGAUCGCACAACAAGCAUCUGGGGGAGUGCGGCAGCCCAUGGCGUGCCCUCCGCUCGGCUGUCCAGCAACGAUCCUGACAAGCAAGCCACAUAAAGAACUUAACACGGGGAGGGGCCCAAGCCUUCCAGUUCAGCUUCCAAGUGUCCGAGGUAAUCCCCCCCAAGAAGAGAGCCUCAUAGCACGACUUAGAAGAGUACUGUCCAUCGGCUGUCCAUCUCCAACGAAGGACAUCCGCCGUGUCCGUGAGCUGGACACCCAGGACCAAGUUCCAAAUCUGGAUGUACUGCCAUAGGGCCACCGGCCCAAGAGCCCCUCGGAUAUCCCGGAUCAAACGUCGGUAAGCAAGGGCCUCAGCGACCGUGCGGGACCUGCAGGUGCGUUUCGAGGUGAGCAGGUAAAGAGUAGGGGCAAGCUCCGAAAUGGCUCGGCCAUCCAACCACCGGUCUUUCCAGAAAGGCGUGGAGGAGCCAUUACCGACCACCAUCGUGGUCAAGGCAAAGAAGAUGCUCCGCUCGGUGGGGGAAAACUGCAUAUCGAGCCCUCGCCAGGGGCGUUGGGGGUCGUUCCUCAUGCGCCAAAUCCAACGGGUGCGAAGACUGACAGCCGAUUUGGCAAGGUCAGGGAUGCCCAACCCACCGUAUUGCAAAGGCCGGCAGCAUUUAGCCUAGUUUACGUGGCAGUGGCCGCCUUGAGCAUCUGCGCGGCCCAACCAAAGGAUCUUCUCCACCUGCUUUUGGACCUUCCGGUAGAGGCCUAACACCGUCAUCUGGUGGAGGGGGAUGGCCGAGAGGACCGCCUGGACCAACGUCAGGCGUCCUGCUUUUGGACUGUUGGCAGGUUUCACAUGGCCUCCUUGUGGGAUCUCGAGGUGAUUACUACUUGACUAGAUUAAGCUCAACAACCAAGGUUAGAUCUAUGCAGCGUUCCUACUUGAAUUUUCUCACAAGAAUCAAUACCAUCGUGCCGGGCAUGCAUUAGUAGACUGUGCUGUUUAGGUUCCCACUUCUCAGCCACUAUUUCUCUGCUUUUGCUUUGCUCUGGUGUAUUAUUUGCUGCUGUUUGCUCCGGUAAGCUCCAUGCCACACUGACAUCAGGAGAUCAAGUGAUUGCUGCAAUUUCUUUCUUUCUAUUCUCUUGAGUUGAUAAACUUAUGCCUGCUUUUCCAGCAGCAUAUCGAUACAUUUUGUUCAUUCCUGUUGGCCGGCAGAAGUUUGUCCUGCAAAGUGUUGAGGCAGGAAACAGUUGGUAUUAACACGUAUUGCUCUCCUUCUGCAGGCUGCAGUACUCUCAUCAAUUGACCUGUGUUCAGGUAUGUUAUUUCAAUGUUCUGCAUCUGUUUUCAGUGGUAAUUCUUCUUUUGUUUUCCUCUGAGGUAUCAAUUUUUUUGUUCUUCCCCCUUUCUGUAGGUGUAAAGGCGUGUCCGCGUGGGAUAUCUACGGUUGUUCCUAGGUGAUUGACAGAAAAAUCCUGUUACCUAUUUCCGUGCAUUGAUUUCUCGAGGCAGCUCCAUUUCAUCCCCCUUGGUUUGAGCACGUUGAGAUCUUAAUGUAGCGAUGUGUUGAUCCUCAGAGCAAGAUGCACCUGCAAGAUGAUUACAAUUGAUUUUUCUUAUUGGCUGUUUAUUUCUUGCUCGACAAAUUGCUUGUAAGGUAAGAAAUGUAAUUUUAAUUUAGGUCUUGAAUCUUUGCUUCCACACAGUAACUGAAAUAUGUAAUCACAACCGGAUAGCUAGCAUGCUAGACAUUGGUUACAUUGGUGACCGAGAAAAUUUAUCAGACAAGGAAGAGUUAUCGCUACACCAUUCAUCAUAGAUAAAACUACAACUCUGCAGAACAUUUUCUGAGGUUAGGAAGAAAAUUUGUCAUUGAUGUAACUGAUGGAAUGAUACAAGAUGUAGUACUAUAUUUAGGAUGCUAUGCAGCUUCUGAUUUUUACAUACACGAUGUAUUUUCCUUCUCUGCAGUGGAGCAGACAAAUAAACGUUGUUAUCAUACAUAACCGAAAUAGAUGGUAAUUUUUACGUAGACAAAUGUGUUGCCCACAUUUUGUGGAAACUUAUACCUAUUUCAUAUAUGGUUCGCUUUUUUCUUCAGAAUGGAAGCUACAUUACCCAGAACAAUUAGUGUUUGCUUGCUUCUAAUAUUUUCCAAACUGGUGAAAGAAAUCAAUUACCGUAUCUGAUCGAACAAUACUGCAAUAGAUUAAAUUAUAAAUUAGUGAAAACUACUUGAGAUUAUGUAUGUAUAGAGGUGCAAUAUGGUGACCCUCAGGGUACACUUCGACCCUCCUUAGUUCAACCAAAUGAACUAAAAUUUCAAAAUGGCAUGUAACUUUUCGAAAAUCUAGUUCAUUUGUUUGAACUAAGGAAGGUCGAAGCGUACCCUGAGGGUCACAAUUUUGCAGCUCUAUGUAUGUAUGAGAUACCAUGUAACUUUCAUGGUAAUAAAUCUCACUUCACAAACAGGCAUUAAAUAGGCAACCUGCUAACUCAGGUGUUGAGCUUCAACACCUCACCAUGCUAUUGGAAUUUUCAAACACCAGGAUGGACCUACCAGCAUACAUGCAAAGUAAAUUAUUGGGGCAGCAUAUAUGGAUGUCUUUUUUUUUUGACUGAAAGCAUAUAUGGAUGUCUUUAACCAUAUAAAACAUAAAUUUCAUAUACAUUGCGAAGUUUUUAAACCAUCUUAACAUAUCUUAUACAUUCAUUGGCAGCCAGCAAGUUCGCAAGCCCCACGCUUAGUGCUUCGGCGGAUCUCCCUCCUCAAGUUGAUCUGAUGGCAUCUGUAUUAGAUCCUUUGGUUGGAUCAUGCAUCACAAAGUUGCAAGAAAUCAUUGCAGAGAAGGCAGUGCUAAUUCUUGGUGUAAAAGAAGAACUAAAGAAACUGCAAGGAACAAUGAAACAAAUACGAUGCUUUCUUGAUGAUGCUGAGCAAAGGAGGAUAAAGGAGUCAGCAGUUAACAAUUGGCUUAGUGAGCUAAGAGAUGCUAUGUACGAUGCUGAUGACAUUGUUGACUCAGCUAGAUUCGAAGGAAGCAAGUUACUGAAAGAUCGCAAAUCAUCAUCAUCAAAAAACUCAACUGCAGGUUGUGGCAUUUCGUUGUUAUCUUGCUUUCCUGUUAUUCAGAGGCGUCAUGAAAUUGCUGUUAAGAUCAGAGACCUGAACGACAGAGUAGAGCAGCUCUCAAAGCAUGGAAACAGUUUUCUACAUCUUGGUGCCGGGCCUACUGGCCAAGGUUCAACAUCCAAAGGGAGAGAAAGUUCCAAGCUUGUAGAACCCAACCUUGUAGGAAAGGAGAUUAUGCAUUCUAGCAAGAAAUUGGUGGAUUUGGUCCUUGCAUGCAAGGAACAUAAGGAUUAUAAGCUCGCUAUUGUUGGAACUGGAGGAGUUGGUAAGACAACGCUAGCUCAGAAAAUAUACAAUGAUCAAAAAAUAAAACCAGAAUUUCAGAAACAAGCAUGGGUUUGUGUUUCUCAAGAGUGUAAUGAAGUUAAUCUUCUAAAGGAGAUUCUCCGCAAUAUUGGAGUGCAUCAAGAUCAAGGUGAAACCAUAGCUGAACUCCAGAACAAGAUUGCAGAAACAAUUAAUGGCAAGAGUUUCUUUCUUGUCCUAGAUGAUGUGUGGGAGUCUAGUGUGAUUGAUUUAUUAGAGGCCCCAAUAGAUUUUGCAGCUUCAUCAAUUAUUUUGGUAACCACACGAGAUGAUAGAAUCACAAUGGAUAUCCAUGCAGCGCAUACCCAUCGAGUUAACCUUAUGUCAGAAGAGGUGGGGUGGGAGCUACUUUGGAAGAGCAUGAGCAUAAUUGAAGCUUAAAGCAAGGACACUUUUAAUUUGGUCUGCUAAGAAACCGAGUAUUGAAAACACAAUUUUCAAGAUACUUCCAUGCAUUCGAGUUUUAUCUUUGAAUGAAUCGUCAUUACAAAGUAUUCCAGAUUGCAUUGGAAGUUUGAUCCAUCUACGAUUUCUUGAUUUCGAUCGUACAGAUAUAUCUUGUCUUCCAGAGUCAAUCGGCUCUCUCUUGAACCUUCAGGUACUGAACCUGCAAGGAUGUCAAGCCUUGCACAGCCUUCCUUUGGCAAUCACUCAACUAUGCAAUUUAAGGCGCCUUGGUCUGCAUGGUACACCAAUUAAUCAGGUACCAAAAGGGAUAGGCAGAUUGGAAUGCCUCAAUGAUUUAGAAGGGUUUCCUGUUGGUGGUGGAAGCGAUAAUGCUAAAAGACAAGACGGAUGGAAUUUGGAAGAGUUGAGGCAUCUCUCAAAUCUAAGGCGUCUUGACCUAAUCAAACUGGAAAGAGCAACGACUUGCAGUACAGAUUCAUUGCUAGCAAACAAAAAAUAUCUGAAAUUUUUGAGUCAAUUCUGCACGAAACAUCCAGUUGAAUCUUAUUCAGAAGAAGAUGUUGGCAACAUUGAGAAGAUCUUUGAGCAGCUUAUACCUGGUUAGAUGGCAACACAGACACAAGGUAUGAUCUGUGGUUGGACUUUUCUUUCCUUAACCAUCUGGUAUGAAAAUCUUCACUCUGCCUUGUUCCAUUGGGUGUUUAAUGCUCUGUUCUGCUAUGUGCACUAUUUUCUUUCUCGAGCACAUAUACAGGAUAUAUUAAUUGCAUUUCAUAAACCUCUUAGAUUGAAUAUCCACUUGUGCGUUUUCCAUUAGAACAUUACUGGAGUUGCAUACGUUAUCAUGUCCUAUUUCACCUGAAAUUUUUGAACCUACUGUACUUGAACAUGUCUCAUAAGAACUGUUUUGGAAGGCAGCAGAUCGAAAUCACACAUUCUGCUCUGCAGUUCUACUGACAAUUCUACUGGUUAGAUUCUAGGAUCUAUUCUGUUAUGUUUCAUACGUGUAUGCACACUCUUUCUGAACUCAACAUACGAAAUGUGCCGUGUUGUUAGAUAAGCCUAAGCCUUUCAUUACAUAAAAUGAGUCAAAGGGUACUGUAAAAUUUGGAGGAGUUGAUUAGCAACCUAUGAUUCUCUCCUUUACUGAUGUGUUAAUUCUCUCCGUAAUCUCGAAAGCUGAUGUUCAGUUGUAAUUCUUGCUCUUCUGCCGGUAGAAAUUGAUUAACUGGGAAACAGUGAUGUCUGCUAUGUCAGUUCUAGAACACUAUCCGAUAGACCAAAGGGCGGCGUCUGCUAUGUCAGUCAUAUGACGAUUUUGAAAAUUAAAAAUCAAAAAGCUUCAUGGCGACAUUUUUAUUGACACAAAUGCGUACGCCCUAGUCAUGUUGAGCAGGUAUGCAUGGUCUCAUGUACCAUGUUCAAAAUAGGCAAGAUCUUCCUUUCCUUUUGGAUUUUGACUUUUUUUUGUCCGAAACUAGGUCUUCUUUUCUCAAAUGCAUGAUAAGAUCGCAGGUUUACAAACUUCUAUCUAUAUUUCAAUUAUGUUUGAGAAAAACAUUCAUAUUAUGCUUAUUCAAUGUCUUGUAUUUUUGCAGGUUGUCAGCCGGAAGGGCUUGUGGAACUACAAUUUAGUGAUUGACCCACAUGUGAACAGACACUAGUGAGAUACCAUUGAGAGUGGAAAAAAUGAGAAAAUAAAAAAGGAAGAAUUCAGAAAAAGUAAAAAAGUAAAAGAAAAACCUAAAUUUUUUGAGAUAAAAAGCAAAAACACAAAAAAAGGAAAAAGAAAAUCCCAAAAAGAGGUUAUUUUUAUGCAUCGUAGUUUGUUUUAUUUUAGUAGGGUAGGUAACUCCGUCUAUGUCGCAACGAGUGCAACACUCAUGCUUCAUAGCCGGUUCCAAGCCCGGAAAAAGGAGGAGGACCAACCAUGUGGUGCCAUUGGAACUAGAUGAUGAAAGCGCUAAACAUGUUCUUUUGAGUGCUGUGAGCUAUCUAGUAAUCAAUAAGAUUGCCUUUAUCCCUUGCAUCAUUAUUUGCAUGUAAAGACACAUUUCAGUCAGCUCUUUGGUCGCGUUGUUAUUGUUGAUCAAAACAUUGUCUGUAUAUUCAAUGGGCAGAUACGUAUGUAAAUAUGUAAUGUUGUUGUGGAAGACACAGUUCGGAAAUAUAUGCAUAUGGAGCAAGAUUUCUAGUUUGCUGUGAUAUGGCGGGAAUUAUCCUUGCUUGCCCAUUGACUGCGUCUUCUCCAAUGAGUCCGAGCUGAAUUCGAGGCAGAGACUGCCUGCUGGCAUGUUUUUAUAAAGAGGACAUUCGUCCUGGCCACCACCACUGAUGAAUCCUCCGCACUGCAUAAGCUGACCUGAGAAAAUUUCAGCAGCUACCUCGCGAUGAGUGUCCUUCUUUCUUUCUGAAAAUAAUCUUGAGCAUAAUCCUUGCAUCUAUCGCAUAUGUUGUUACCAACUACUUGCUGCGUUCAUAAUUUUACAUGAUAUAGUUGCUAUGCAUAUCCCAUUGCAGCAGGUCAGUUGGUUUUGAGCAGGGCAAUUUCGUUUGCCGAAUAAUUUUCUGUUCCAGAAAUUUGUAGCUCCGGUGCUGCUAUACAAAUUAUCAUAGACGCAUAUAAAGCAGCUUUGCUUCAUGUGGCUGCCAUGUCUCACGGUUGCAAUGGCGGGAAACGCCAAAUUCGAAAAAUAAGCAGCCCGGCAAUAGAAAGCCCACCGAGUCCUUCUAAUAUCCGGCCCAGCCCGUGUGUGCAACAGAAAGCCCAAACAGAGAAGCUUCUUCUCCGUCGCUCCACUCCAUCCUUUUCCCCUCCGCAGACUCUCUCUGUGCCGCGGCCGCAGCCAUGGAUCCAAAAUUUCGGCCGCAGCCAUGGUAAAUUUUCUCUGCCUGACCUCGCUGGUGACCCGGAAGGAAAUCUCUGCCUGGAUGCAAGAGAGCCUGCUCCAGCUGCUGCUCGGUGCAGGUUCGUCGCUGCUUCCUGCUGUUAAUUACUACCAGUACCGUUGUAAUUUCCUUGUUAUGAUGUGCCUUAAUUUGGUGAGGUAACUAUUAACUUGGUCUUACUUUUAAUAAUAAACUUGGUAGAUUUUGGUACCAUGUUGCUGUUGCUUUCAUGGAAUUAGAGUCAAUUUGGUCGUGCUUGGCUGCUAUUAUGUAAUGUGCAAGUUGCACAUACAGAGAGUGCUGCAUGAGGAGGGAUUGUGUUUCCUUUUCUCUGCAUUUUUUAAAAAAAAAAGGACUACUAGUGUUAAUCUAAGACUCCACUGCAAUGGGUUGGUGGCUUGUUGCCAUCAUGGUGGGAUUAACUUUAUCGCCUAAUCUUAUUGGCGUAUCAGCAGCACUUGGACAACUUUUACCAAAGUAGUCUUUGGUGGUGGCUGUGCCUCAGCUUUACUCAAGAGUCAACAAUCUUGUGAGUGAUGAUUGAUACACUUCUAAUCUUCCAUUAUAAUAUUUGCUGUGCAGUUGUUUAUCCGUCUUCCUUUUCCUUUUCCCUCGUUUAUCUUCUUUCCUUUUCCUUUUGUUUUUACUAGCAUUGCUCCCUGGUGGUCUUGUAAGACUUGGCCGUCUUGGCCCCUCUUCUAAUGAAAUUUGACAAGUUCGAUAAAAAAAGAUGUGCAGUACAAUGCACAACCAAGCCAAGGCAACAACAGAACAAGCCAGGCAAGUUUUACUUGUGCUCUACAAUACUGCAAGCCAUUACUUCAUUUCGAUUGCUAGUAUCCAAGAGCUUUUCCUUUAUCUCCACUGAACUCUGCAUUUGCUAGUACAGAUGUAAACAAUGCUGCAAUUAAAGGCAUAGUUACCGGAUCUGCGAUUCGCUCGCUUCGGGAUUUGGAUUCGAGUUUCGCGAUUCGGUACUUCUUACGAAUCGGGUUCGACGCACCUCUGAUUCACGAAUUAGCGAUUGUUUUUUUUGUGAGAAACCAAAGUGAGUAAAUAAGAACUGUGAAUGCUGCAGCACAAAUAAGUGUUUUUUUAGCGAGCGCAGCACAAAUAAGUAAAAAAAGAAGAAGAGAGAUAUAUAGAUGGUCAUUAGUUGUUGGGCUGGCCCAGCCUUUGCUCGCAUCUGCACCAUCCACCAUCAAACGCUUUGUCUCCUCUCAAAAAAAAUAAAAAUCAUACGCUUCGUCUCUCUGAUCUAACCCCUGACCACAUUGCCGCCUCCCCAGUCCCCAACAGGAGUACUCCCCCAACACUCACAUCCCGAUUCAUGUCCAAGCAAGAUAAAGUGAGUCUGAACUACGAUAAAUCUAAGAGUACUUUAAAAUUGCAACUCAAAAUUCGAGUGACACACCAAGAAACAUAAAAAGGAAUACAUAUCCACGAAAUAUAGCCCAAAGUACCAUGAACGAAUGGACUUUUCGUUCUUGUUUCGAGAUGGGUGGAUCGAAUUUGGAUUUCAGAUUUAUUUGGCAUCGCUAUCAAUUUUGUUUGGGUUUUCUUUUUCUAUGAUUUUUGUAUAGCUUAGCUCUCCACAUUGUAGGUCACAUUUUUUUGGAAUAGUAUUGCGGGUGACUCGUUGGACGCUGAUGCGUUUCUUUCUGGCAUACUUGAAACUUACAACUCAAAAUUCGAUUGGCACACUGAGAUACAGAAAGGGAUAGACCCAUCCAUGAAUUGUAGCCCAAAGUACCAUAAACAGAUGGAUUUUUCCUUCAACACCAAUGCUUUUCUUUCUGGCAGGCUACAUCCAUGGUGACUGGUGAGAGCCAUGAUGCUGCCAUGUGGGUGACAGUGAGAUUCCUGCAGCAGCAAUGAUUCCUCGUUGGUGCCUGUCCCGAAGCUUGACUCACGAGUCAACACUCUUGUGGGAUUGGUGCAGUUCCGUUACUAACAGUGAUGAUGUUGAGAAAGGGCAAAUAAACGACAGUCAUACUGUCAGUGCACAACCAAGCCAAGGCAACUAAAGCGGUGGCUGUACACCCCCCACCCCCACCUUCCUAGCCACACGUUUGCUCCUCCCUUUCUCGCUCUUUCUUAUUAAUCAUUGUUCUUUCUUAUUAAUCAUUGUUUUUUAAAAUAAAAGUGGACACGUGUGUGGACAACACGGUGGGUGUAGAUAGGUAGGGGGUACCAGGAGGUUUGGCCCAAGCCAACAGAACAAAGUCAGUCAAGUCAUACUUUUAGCACUGCAAUAACGCAAUACCUUUCUUCAUGUUGACUGCUACUUUCUCUGUUCCAAUAUAUAAGUUGUAUUGACCAAGAAUUACUUACUCCACAAAUUUGUGACUUAUGUCAUGCAAAUCCAUAAGUAAGUAGUACUGCAAUAAUGCAAGACCUUCCUUCAUUUUAAUUGCUACUAGCAUCCAAGAGUUUAGCAAUUCCUGUCCUUCAUUUGAACUUUGUCUGUGUUAUAUUAGGAGUGUAAUAAACACCACACCAGAUGAGGCUUACACUGCAGACCCUCUACUUUACACUGUUUCUCUGCUUUGUCCUCUUUAGUCUACACUGCAAUAAUGCAAUGUCUCUUCCCCACACCACACAUGCUUGCAAGAAGAGGAGACUUCAUCAACGAGUGCUAAGGAUUUCUCUGCUCUUUCUUGCUUUUCUUUUUCUCCAGUGCGUGAUUUGCUGCUUCUGGAUGUGGUAAGCUCAUACCGCAAGAAUCGUUGAUUUGGGUACCUCUUUUUCUUCUUCUUCUUCAGUUUCCUCAUGCACUGCCCAUUUGCUUCCAGUGAUGCCGGUCAAAGAAGUUUGCACAGGAUAAGAACUUGUGUUCAAUUCUGUUCUGCUUGACGGAUCCUGUCCAGGAACUGAGAGAAAACCGCCAUGCCAUCCUAGUAAAGAAUAGUACUUCCCUCAGUAAGGACUCUGCGAGAGAAGGAUGCUUCAUUGGGAUUUUGCAACUAGAAGUUUCUCCAACCCUUGCCAUCUCGUGAAGCUCAACAUGAGGCAGAAAUCCAUUUCUGCAAGUCACGGCCCAGAGUCUUACUGAACAAAACUUUGGCUGGUUUUACAUGGUCUCCUUGCGGGAUCUUGAGGUGAAUACUGGAUUAGAUUGAACGUGGCAACGCCACUUGAUUAGAUAUACUGGUGUCAAUGAACUGUCAGCAGGUUUUUUCUCUCACAAGUACCAACCCGACUGUACCGAGCAUUAGUAGACAGUUUUAUUUAGGUUCCCGUUUCCCAGCCACUAUUUCUCUGCUCUUGCUUUGCUAGGGUGUAUUACUUGCUGCUGUUUGCUCUGGUAAGCUCCAUGCCACACUAGCACCAGGAGAUCAAGAGAUAGUUGCAAUUUCUUUCCUUCUAUUCUAUUAAGUUGGUGAACUUAUCUCUGCUUUCCCUGCAGCAUCGAUAUAUUGUGUUCAUUUCUGUUGACUGGCUGGGAGAACUUGUCGUGCAGAGUGUUGCGGCAGGAAACAGUUGGUAUUAACACAUAUCACCCUCCUUCUGCAGGCUGCUGUACUCGUCAGUUGACCCGUAUCCAGGUAUGUUUUCUCAAUGGUCUGUGUCUCUAAUUCAGGCUGCAGUACCCGUAGGAUUUUUCUAAGUGUGUGCAACUAGACUAGAUGAUUAGCAAAGACAAAUCUCAAGCAUUUACAUGACCAGGUUUCACAUUUGCUGAUGGAAACUUGAUGAUACCUGCAUUCUAGUCCCAUUGAUCAUCAUUCAUCAACGCGGACCCAGCUGAAGUUUCAUGAUCGGUGCACUUGGCUGUGCCUCAGCUUUACUCAAGAGUCAACAAUCUUGUGAAUGAUGAUCUUUUUCCCUUUGUAGGAUGCUCUUAAAAUGAAUCCUAUCUACUUGGCGGGGGGGGGGGGGGGGGGCACAUGACCGAGACCGGGUUCUCCGUUCCACGUCUGUCACCACGGUGGCAGAUCAAGUUCUCGGCGGUGAUCUCCUCUUCUCGCCUGAGGAUACUCGACGGGAUUCUCGAGUAUCAUGCCGGUGCGGGGCAGCUUCUCUUGCGGGAUUCGGUCGGUCGGAUUGUGCGGACUGGAGGGUUCUCAUACGACGGUGGCACUGUGUCGUUUCCAUUUCAUGUGGUACACGGGACAGGAAAACCGGUGCUGGUGGCGGAUUCCUCCGCGUCAUGUGGUGCUAAUGGUUCCACGUCGACGGGAUCACGGGUGCGGGCGCCAGAGGUGCGGGUCAUCGGGGUGAUCCCUACACGCUCGGAUGAACCGGGUUUGCUUGGGCCGCCUCCGGGGAAGCCGGUUCGACACGUGGACACCACAUCCACCAACUCUCGCGGCAUCAAUGGUGGAUCGAUUCCUGGCACAAGGGUCCCACGAGGUGGCAUGGGCAUUGAUAACACCCCUUCCGAUCUUGGUGAGUUCGAUCUAGACUCACUCUAUGCUCACUUUUGGUCUGGAUCUAGGGUUUCCACUACUUCUUCCCCUCUUCGCUCGCGGGGCGAGUCCUUCGGGUGGUGGCCGGGCAAGGUCGCCGGGGACACACGUUCCUUUGCGCAGGUGGUUUCCUCGCCGCUUGAUUCGAUGGAGGAUCAGGGAACGCACUUUAACCGAGGCCAUCGUUUAGAUGGUUUCGGAGCGGAGCGACGAGGUCGGGGUGCGGGAAGGCAAGAUCGGGGACGAGGCCAUCCCAAUGUGUGGCGAAGCAACUCCUUGGAUCCCGUUCAGUCCUCCUCCAACACAGGUGAAUCGGCUCCGGCGAACCGUUGGGAGGAGGCGGCGGCGGCACAAGACAACCGGGCGGGGGCUCCGCAAGAUCGAUGGGCACUGGCGGCUCAGGGGGUGCAGUUGUCGCACUCUAAACAAGGGGCACGGAUGGCAGAUAAACUCGGUAAUAUCGAUUCUUGUCUUCACUGCGGUUCUUCUGCUCAUGCUUCUGGUCGUUGUCCUUUGGUGGUUUGUGAACGUUGUGGUAAAACUGGUCAUCUUCAAGCUGCUUGUCGUGCUGUCUUUCCCUGGGAGCAUGUGGCUCAGAUGUGUGCUUUUCGAUCGUCCUAGUAGUGUGGUUAUCACUUUGAUUGAGGGGAUUGCUUCUUGCAAGGAUAUUGAGAUGGAGUUUACUAAUUUCUUUGCAUCUGGUUGGCGUUGUACUGCACGGCCGAUUGGUCCUGACAAGUAUGUCAUGCGUUUCCCCUCUGCUAGAGAGGUCGAGAAAGCUUGCUACCAGGACCGAUUUCGGAUGCAUGGUUGUGCUGCUACUUUGCGUUUAUCUCCUUGGACUGCCUCUGUGGGAGCGGAAGCUGAAUUGAAUGUUGGUUGGGUUCGAGUUGCUAAUAUUCCUUUGGAUAAAAGAUCUGAGAAAAAUGCUUCGUUUGCUGCUUCACUGGUUGGUGUUCCCUUGGAAAUUGAUUUGUCCACGUUACAUAAACCAGAGUAUGUGCGUGUUCUGCUUGGCUGUAGAGAUAUUUCUAAACUUCCUGCUGUGGCAGAAGGUUGCCUGGGAAGACACUUCUAUGAUUUCUUUUAUGAGGUGGAUUCUGGUAAAGCUGUUGUGGUUGAUGAGACUGAUACUUCAGCUCUCCCAUCACCUUCUAAACGUCCUUGUACGACUGAGUAUCCUAAAACUACUGACAAGAAUCCUACAUGAAAUCAUGCAUCACACACUUGUAGAAAGAGAGAUUGGAGUCAUCCUAAAACUGGAUUUUGAAAAGGCACAUGAUAAAGUAAAUUGUGAGUUCUUGCUAUCUUGUCUGCAUUUGAAAGGUUUUAAUGAUAAAUGGUGCAGGUGGACUGAUCAGAUCCUAAAACAUGAUAUUGUUAGUGUGAAGUUGAAUGACAUGAUUGGUCCUUAUUUUCAAAGUGCUAAAGGUGUGAGAGAGGGUGACCCCCUAUCACAUAUGUUGUUUAACCUGGCAGCUGAAGUUCUCACUAAAAUGGUUUUGAAGGGGCAGAGUAAUAAUCUUUUUGUUGGUCUGGCUUCUGAUCUCAUGGAUAAGGGUUUGGCCAUUAUGCAGUAUGCAGAUGAUACUGUUAUAUGUUUGCAGCAUGAUUUGAAGAAAGCUGUUAACAUGAAGUUGUUAACAUGAAGUUGUUACUUUAUGUGUUUGAAUUAAUGUCUGGCCUGAAAAUCAAUUUUUUGAAAAGUUAAGUUUUUCUUAUUGGGGGUGAUAAUACUAUUGCUUCUCAGUAUGCUGCCUUGUCUGGCUGUCACCCCUAAAAUAUCUUGGGGUUCCUGUGAGUUUUUCCUCCAUUAAAAACAAAGAUUGAGAUUUUUUGGAAACAAAGUUCAUGAAAAGAUUAGAAGCAUGGAAAGGUUGCAGCUUAUCUAUGGGGGGGAGGACAGUGCUUCUCAAUGCAUGUUUGUCUAACCUUCCCUCUUAUCAUAUGUCAAUGUUUCUUUUUAAUAAAACUUUUAUUGAAAAACUGGAUAAGCACAGAAGAAAAUUCCUCUAGCAAGGAAAUGGGGACAAAAAGAAAUAUCAUUUGGUCAAGUGGUCUAGAGUGUAGAUCCAAGAAGAAAGGGGGUUUAGGAGUGAAAGAUCUAAGAAAACAAAAUGUUAGCCUGUUAUGUAAAUGGUGGUGGAAGCUGAAUACUGGUCAAGGUUUGUGGCAAUUUUUGAUCAGGAGAAAAUAUUUACAUAAUAAAACUGUUCCUACUGUCAAGAUGAGACAACUUGAUUCCCCCUGUUGAAAAUCUUUAUUGAAAGUUAGAGAAUUUUAUUUGACUGGAAGAGCUAUAAGGCUGGGAUGUGGUGACUUGAUGAGGAUUUGGGAAGACUGUUGGGAUGGGGAGAAUGGCCCGUUGGCUAAUCAAUUCCCUGAAUUGUUCAGUAUUUGUUUAACCUCUGAUAUUACUAUCAAAGUAUUUAGAGAAGCUGACUCUGUGAUGAGAUUUAGGAGACAACUUAAUCCUAUUCUAGCUAGUCAAUGGCAGGCACCGCGUUCUAAGCUGGAUGCUUUACCUCUAUCUGAUGAUUCUGACUCAGUUGCUUGGUCUUUUGAAAAAUCUGGUCGUUAUACUGUAAAAUCUUUAUACUUCUGGCUUGAAAGGAAUUUGAAUGGUGCUCAUAAUAAAUGGAUUUGGAAAGCUAAAAUUCCCCUAAAGAUUCAGAUCUUUCAAUGGUUGUUGCUCCAAGGAUCUGUUAUUACCAAAAACUGUAUGCAAAAGAAAAAUUGGCAGGGAUCUCCUCUUUGUUCCUUUUGUGGACAAAAUGAAACUGCUCUUCACUUGUUUUUCACUUGUUCUAUUUCUAGAGUGGUUUGGGGGAUAGUUGGAUCUUUGUUUGGUACUUUCAUGAUUCCUAAUUCGUUAUGGCAAUUCUUUGUCUGGAUGCAUGUUUUUCUUCCUGGUGGUGAUUGUUUCUUUGUGGUGGGUUUGGCUGCUGUCACUUGGGCCACCUGGAAUUAUCAGAAUCGUGUAACUUUUGAGAAAUAUAAGCUUCGUUCACCCUUUGAGAUUGUAUUUUCGACAUGUGCGUAUUUGUUAUCAUGGGCAGGUUUACACAAAGGGGGUGAUGAUGUGCUGCUGCAAGAGGGCGCCAGGAAGCUUGUUGCCAAUGCUCAGAUGUUGAUGAGGAACUUCAAUGAAGGCACAUCUGCGACUGAAUCUAUGGUGGUGCCCUAUCUGCCGAUACCUUGAUCUGCUUGGGCUACUGGAAGAGGGCUGCUGGAAGAGGCUUUUGUCAUGUUGAUUCUGCUGUGUUGCACGCUGUAGAUUAUCAUGUUUUGUCUGGCCUUGUAUCUCUAAAACUUGUUGAACUUCUAGCUGGCUGUUCUAAGACUCUCUUUUUUUCAGCUUCUGGACAGCUUCUGGACAGCUUCUAGGUCCAGGAAACCGCUAGCUGAAAAGAAGGCAAAAUUUCUUGAGAGCUUAUUUUUCAACAUGCAGCUUCUCGUGGUGCAAUUGGAGAGCUUCUCCACCCGCAUCUUAUGAAAAUACCACAUGGACACACCGUAUUUACGGCUGAAUUGCCACCGCCUCCCGUCGCGCCGGAAAAAAAAAUGAUUCGCUCGCUCACCCUCGACCUCAGACCCGAUCCUUCUCCACUCGCUCCUGUCCCAGCGCCGCCGCCGCCCCCGCCCCUGCGGCCCUGCCCUCCUCCGACAUCUCUCCCGUGGCCGUUGCCCCUCCCUCCACCGGCCGCCAUCCUUCCCAUCCCCUCCGUCCGCGCCGCCCUCCCCCACUCCCGGAUCUGUCGUCGCCACCCCCACUCCCGGAUCCGCCGCCCUCCCCCAGUCGGGCUCCAAGAUCGCAUCUCCAUGGACGUCCUCUAGUGAAAAUCUGCUACCGGCAUGGAGCUUGCCCUGCUCCUAUCAAGCUCUGCUGCCAACGAGCGUGGCCCUUGCCCUCCUCCCGUGAAGCUCUGCAACUAGCAACCAGAAGGAGGGGGAGCAAGCCUCGACUAGCUCGCCCCUGAUGCCGGCCGCCAUGAGCGAGAUCCAUGCAGUGGCACACGCAUCCUUCCCUGUGCAGCCCCGUACCAAGCCGCCAUCUCCGUCGCCUGAAUCUGUAUGGAUUUGGUGGUGUCUCCCGUCGGCCUCUCAAGACCCCCUUUCGUGCGUGCAAGCAAGAACAAAAAUUGGAUUUUCCUUCUUCUUAAUUCUUGUGUUUACUAGUAGUAUUUGCAAAUCUGGGUUAGCAUUAGCUUGAAAUUUCUCAAGAUCUUGCAACCCCCUAUGCAUGGUUCUUGAUGUUUGCUCAGGACGUCUAGUUCAAUUCUUUGUUGGUUAUGAAAUUGCCGUAGUUUUAAUUUUGCAUGGACUGAUGCAUAUGUAUAAAAUUAGAUGGAUGAACUGAUGUUGUAGAUGCGAACGUGUGGAUAUGUUGGUUCGAGCUGUCAACAAAUACCUACAAAUUUGAGACAGCAGGUUGCAUCUUGAAAAGCUGAAAAAAAGGGAAUAAAAUAACUUCUGAGGCUUCUCGUGGCAGCAGCUUUCCUCGGCUGAAGCUGACUUAUGGAGAAGCUGCAGCCGAAAAGAAGGGGCCUAAACUUUGUUAGGUUAUAGUUUAGGAGCAGGUUUUUGUCCCGUAGUCAGCGUUUCGAUUGCGAGAGCUGGUCAGUGGGUUUUCUGCUCAUGUAGUUUCACCUCUCUUCUGUUCCUCCCCCAACUCCAAUAUUGUCUCUUUGUUUGUGACAACAACUUUGUAUUUCCGUUAUUUUGGAAAUGGAAAGGGAAGAAAUCUCAGGUGGAAAAAAUCUUCCAUUAUCGUAUUUGCAGUGCAGUUGUUUAUCCGUCUUCCUUUUCCUUUUGCCUCGUUUAUCUUCUUUCCUUUUCCUUUUUUUUACUAGCCUUGCUCCCUAGUGGUCUUGUAAGACUCGACCGUCUUGGCCCCUCUUCUAAUGAAAUUUGACAAGUUCGAUAAAAAAAGAUGUGCAGUACAGUGCACAACCAAGCCAAGGCAACAACAGAACAAGCCAGGCAAGUUUUACUUGUGCUAUACAAUACUGUAAGCCAUUACUUCAUUUCGAUUGCUAGUAUCCAAGAGCUUUUCCUUUUUAUCUCCACUGAACUCUGCAUUUGCUAGUACAGAUGUAAACAAUGCUGCAAUUUAAGGCAUAGUUAUCGGAUUCGCGAUUCGCUUGCUUCGGGAUUUGGAUUCGCAUUUCGCCAUUCGGUACUUCCUACGGGAUUUGGAUUCGCAUUUCGCCAUUUGGUACUUCCUACGAAUCGGGUUUGACGCACCUCCGAUUCACAAAUCAGCGAUUGCUUUUUUUUUUGAGAAAUCAAAGUGAGUAAAUAAGAACUGUGAAUGCUGCAGCACAAAUAAGUAAAAAAAGAAGAAGAGAGAGAUAUAGAUGGUCAUUAGUUGUUGGGCUGGCCCAGCCUUUCUCGCAUCUGCACCAUCCACCAUCAAACGCUUCGUCUCUCUGACCUAACCGCUGACCACACCGCCGCAGCCCCAGUCCCCAACAGGAGUACUCCCCCAACCCUCACAUCCCGGUUCAUGUCCAAGCAAGAUAAAGUGAGUCUGAACUAAGAUAAAUCUAAGAAUACUUGGAAAUUACAACUCAAAAUUCGAUUGACACCAAGAAACAUAAAGGGAUACCUAUUCACGAAUUGUAGCCCAAAGGACAAUAAACGGAUGGAUUUUUCGUUCUUGUUUCGGGAUGCGUGGAUCGAAUUUGUAUUUCAGAUUUUAUUUGAUAUUGCUAUAAAUUUUGUUUGGGUUUACUUUUUCUAUGAUUUUUAUAGCUUAGCUCUCCACAUUGUAGGUCACAUUUUUUUUGGAAUAGUAUUGCGGUUGACUCGUUGGACGCUGAUGCGUUUCUUUCUGGCAUACUUGAAACUUACAACUCAAAAUUCGAUUGGCACACUGAGAUACAGAAAUGGGUAGACCCAUCCAUGAAUUGUCGCCCAAAGUGCCAUAAACAGAUGGAUUUUUCCUUCUGAGUGGACACCAAUGCGUUUCUUUCUGGCAGGCUACAUCCAUGGUGACUGGUGAGAGCCAUGAUGGUGCCAUGUGGGUGACAGUGAAAUUCCUGCAGCAGCAAUGAUUCCUCGACGGUGCCUGUCCCGAAGCUUGACUCACUACGAGUCAACAGUCUCGUGGGAUUGGUGUAGUUCCAUUACUAACAGUGAUGAUGUUGAGAAAGGGCAAAUAUACGAGACAGUCAUACUGUCAGUGCACAACCAAGCCAAGGCAACUGAACAAAGUCAGUCAAGUCAUACUUUUAGCACUGCAAUAAUGCAAGACCUUUCUUCAUUUUGACUGCUAUUUUCUCUGUUCCAAUAUAUAAGUCGUAUUGACCAAGAAUUACUUACUCCCCAAAUAUGUGAUUUAUGUCAUGCAAAUCCAUAAGUAAGUACUGCAAUAAAGCAAGACCUUCCUUCAUUUUAAUUGCUACCAGCAUCCAAGAGCUUAGCAAUUCCUGUCCUUCCUUUGAACUUUGUCUGUGUUAUAUUAGGAGCGUAAUAAACACCACACCAGAUGAGGCCUUUACACUGCAGACCCCCUUUACACUUUACAUUGUUGCUCUGCUUUGUCCUCUUUAGUCCACACUGCAAUAAUGCAAUAUCUCUUCCCCACACCACACAUGCUUGCAACAAGAGGAGGCCUCAUCAACGAGUGCUAAAGAUUUCUCUGCUCUUUCUUUCUUGCUUUCCUUUUUCUUCGGUGUGUGAUUUGCUGCUCCUGGAUGUGGUAAGCUCAUACCACAAGAAUCAUUGAUUUCUGUACCUCCUUUUCUUCUUCAGUUUCUUCAUGUACUGUCAAUUUUGCUUCCAGUGAUGAAGGUAAAGAAAGUUUGCAUAGGAUAACAACUUGUGUUCGGUCCUGUUCUCCUUGACGGAUCCUGUCCAGGAACCGAGAGAAAUCUGCCAUCCUAGUAAAGAUCAGUACUUCCCUCAGUGAAGGACUCCGGGAGAGAAGGAUGCUUCAUUAGGAUUUUGCAACUAGAAGUUUCUCCAACCCUUCCCAUCUCAUGGAGCUCGACAUGAGGCAGAAAUCCAUUUCUGCAAGUCACGGCCCAGAGUCUUACUGAACAAAACUUUGGCUGGUUUUACAUGGUCUCCUUGCGGGAUCUCAUGGUGAAUACUUGAUUAUAUUGAACCUGGCAACGCCACUUGAUUAGAUCUACUGGUGUCAAUAAACUGUCAGCGGGUUUUUUCUCUCACAAGUACCAACCCCACUGUGCCGAGCAUUAGUAGACUGUUUUAUUUAGGUUCCCAUUUCCCAGCCACUAUUUCCCUGCUCUUGCUUUGCUCGGGUGUAUUACUUGCUGCUGUUUGCUCUGUUAAGCUCCAUACCACACUAGCACCAGGAGAUCAAGAGAUAGUUGCAAUUUCUUUUUUUCUAUUCUAUUAAGUUGGUGAACUUAUCUCUGCACGGCAGAACUUGUCGUGCAGAGUGUUGCGGCAGGAAACAGUUGGUAUUAACACAUAUCACCCUCCUUCUGCAGGCUGCUGUACUCAUCAGUUGACCCGUAUUCAGGUAUGUUUUCUCAAUGGUCUGUGUCUCUAAUUCAGUCUGCAGUACCCGUAGGAUUUUUCCAAGUGUGUGCAACUCGACUAGAUGAUUAGCAAAGAGAAAUUUCAAGCAUUUACAUGACCAGGUUUCACAUUUGCUGAUGAAAACUUGAUGAUACCUGCAUUCUGGUCCCAUUGAUCAUCAUUCAUCAACGCUGACCCAGCUAUAGUUUCAUGAUCGGUGCAGUUGUUUGUUUUUGACCGAAAACUGUAGUAGAGCUUCAUAUCAGAACUUCUGUUCGUUUCUUCCUCAUUUUCCCGGCUCAGACUUUUGUCUUUACCAUCAGCACUACUUUGACUCAGUCUUAUGAACAAUACUAUCUCUGCAUCCACUCUCUUUGGUAACCUGUACAAUUGCUCAUUAAUCAAUAAGUAGUUUGCUACCUUGGUAUGUCUUAAGUCAUGCUUCCCUUUCAUUUGCUCAUGUGCACAUGUGAUGGAAGUUUCAUGACCGUGUAUGUUUUUUUUUGUGUGUGUGCUGAUCAUGCAUCGAAUUUGCUUUCUUUUUUGAGGGGCUGGGGCAAGAUGGAUUAGCUAAAGUUAGUUUUGUAAUUUGUGUUCCCGAUUUUGGGGAUAGCAUCAAACCAUUUGUGAAUCCAUAACAGGGAGUUGGUGGUUUGUUACUAUCACAAGGGGCAUUAUAUUCAUUACCUAUCUACAUCCGAGUUCAUUCAAAAUUGCAACUUGCACAAAUGACAGAGGAAAAUAAAAUAAAGCAUGUCGUGCCAGCUCUGGUGAUGUCCAUUAGCAGCCAACGCAUACGUCCCAAGAACUUAAACUGUAAACGAUUGUGGCUGUAUUGCAAUUAUCAGAAGACUUGGUGUCCAGUCUUAUUUCACAUGCAGCCAGUACAUAGUGUGACUAACCACUCCUUCCAUCCUCCAGUUCAUAUGAGAACUUCUUCCUCAUUUUGCCAGCUCAUCGUUUUGUCUUUACCAUCAGCACUACUUUGACUCAGUCUUAUGAGCAAAGCAUCUUAACAAAACCAAUUCCCUAUUUUUAUUGCAUUUGUUGAAGACUCUACAGCAGGGAGUUGUUGGCUUGCAGCUGGCUAACAACAUCCUGUGGGAACAAUACUAUUAGUGACCUUGUAGUCUACAUAUUUUAUCCACGUGAUGCAAGAGAAGGGUGCUUCAAUAAGAAUUUCUCUUUAGUUCUUUGUCAUUCCCCUGCUCUUGCUUUCCUCUGGCGUUAGUUGGCUCUGGUAAUGUCCAUGGCAGAGUAAUUUGUAACCAGAGAUCACGAAUUUUGAUUCUUUCUUCUCUUCAGUUAAUCCUUGUAUGCAUGCUUAGUAAGUUUUGUGUCGGCAGCUUGUGUUCGUUCCUGUCGGCACGCUGAUUGAAGUAAUCAUAUGGAGUGUGGUGGAGGCAGGAUCGGAGGCAGAUCGUGCUAGCACGCACAGCACGCUAAUCGCUUCACCGUAAUCCAGGUGUGUUUUCUCAAUGUUCAGCAUCUCUAGUGCAGUGGUAACUAUUCUUUCAUUUUCCUGUUUUGUUUUGAUUCUCUAUCGCUUCUUGCUGUAUGAUUGGUCCAGUUUCUUUGUAUUUGGGCAUAGCAAAUGGUUUAGGUAUAACAUCGGGUUGGAGGGUUAGAUAAGCUUCAACUUUUGCACCAGUAGUUUGUUUGCCAAGUGACAUGCGAGCAUUGAAUUGUUUGAGACAUUUUCAGCCAGAUUUUGAACCCGUACGGUUUCACUCCCAGAGCUGGCAGAGCUGGAUUCCGAAAUUUCUACCUGCAGCAGAGGGUACCUCGCGGAUUGCAUGCUGUACGGAAUGCUGCAAUUCCAAGUCGCAGGCGUGGGGUGGGCUACCCAACAGUUUUGCUUGUAAGGUAAGAAAUGUAAUUUUAAUUUAGGUCAUGAAUCUUUGCUUCCACGCAGUGACUGAAAUAUGUAAUCACAACCGGAUAGCUAGCAUGCUAGACACUGAUUCCAUUGGUGACCGAGAAAAUUUAUCAGACAAGGAAGAGUUAUGGCUACACCAUUCAUCAUAGAUAAAACUACAACUCUGCAGAACAUUUUCUGAGGUUAGGAAGAAAAUUUGUCAUUGAUGUAACUGAUGGAAUGAUACAUGAUGUAGUAUUAUAUUUAGGAUGCUAUGCAGCUUCUGAUUUUUACAUACACGAUGUAUUUCCCUUCUCUGCAGUGGAGCAGACAAAUAAACGUUGUUAUCAUACAUAACCGAAAUAGAUGGUAAUUUUUACGUAGACAAAUGUGUUACCCACAUUUUGUGGAAACUUAUACCUAUUUCAUAUAUGGUUCGCUUUUUUCUUCAAAAUGGAAGCUAUAUUACCCAGAACAAUUAGUGUUUGUUUGCUUCCAAUAUUUUCCAAACUGGUGUGAGAAAUCAAUUACCUUAUCUGAUCGAACAAUACUGCAAUAGAUUAAAAUUAUAACUUAGUGAAAACUACUUGAGAUUAUGUAUGUAUGAGAUACCAUGUAACUCUCAUGGUAAUAAAUCUCAUUUCGCAAACAGGCAUUAAAUAGGCAACCUGCUAUCUCAGGUGUUGAGCUUCAACACCUCACCAGGAUGGACCUACCAGCAUAGAUGCAAAGUAAAUUAUUGGGGCAACAUAUAUGGAUGUUUUUUUUUGACUGAAAGCAUAUAUGGAUGUCAUUAACCAUAUAAAACAUAAAUUUCAUAUACAUUGCGUAGUUUUUAAACCAUCUUAACAUAUAUUAUACAUUCAUUGGCAGCCAGCAAGUUUGCAGUUUUCUGGAGCAAGACCCACGCUUACUGCUUCGGCGGAUCUCCCUCCUCAAGUUGAUCUGAUGGCAUCUGUAUUAGAUCCUUUGGUUGGAUCAUGCAUCACAAAGUUGCAAGAAAUCAUUGCAGAGAAGGCAGUGCUAAUUCUUGGUGUAAAAGAAGAACUAAAAAAACUGCAGGGGACAAUGAAACAAAUACGAUGCUUUCUUGAUGACGCUGAGCAAAGGAGGAUAGAAGAGUCAGCAGUUAACAAUUGGCUUAGUGAUCUAAGAGAUGCUAUGUAUGAUGCUGAUGACAUUGUUGACUCAGCUAGAUUUGAAGGAAGCAAGUUACUGAAAGACCACCCAUCAUCAUCAUCAUCAAGAAACUCAACUGCAUGUUGCGGCAUUUCGUUUUUAUCUUGCUUUCCUGUUAUUCAGAAGCGUCAUGAAAUUGCUGUUAAGAUCAGAGACCUGAACGACAGAGUAGAGCAGCUAUCAAAGCAUGGAAACAGUUUUCUACAUCCUGGUGUUGGACCUACUGGCCAAGGUUCAACAUCCAAAGGGAGAGAAAAUUCCAAUCUUGUACAACCCAAACUUGUGGGAAAGGAGAUUAUGCAUUCUAGCAAGAAAUUGGUGGAUUUAGUCCUUGCAGGGAAGGAACAGAAGGAUUAUAGGCUCGCUAUUGUUGGAACUGGAGGAGUUGGUAAGACAACACUAGCUCAGAAAAUAUACAAUGACCAAAAAAUUAAACCAGUCUUUGAGAAACAAGCAUGGGUUUGUGUUUCUCAAGAGUGUAAUGAAGUUAAUCUUCUGAAGGAGAUUCUCCGCAAUAUUGGAGUAUAUCAAGAUCAAGGUGAAACCAUAGCUGAACUCCAGAGAAAGAUUGCAAAAACAAUCGAAGGCAAGAGUUUCUUUCUUGUUCUUGAUGAUGUGUGGAAGUCUAGUGUGAUUGAUCUAAUAGAGGCUCCAAUAUAUGUCGCAGCUUCAUCAGUUAUUUUGGUAACCACACGAGAUGAUAGAAUUGCAAUGGAUAUCCAUGCAGCGCAUACCCAUCGAGUUAACCUUAUGUCAGAAGAGGUGGGGUGGGAGCUACUUUGGAAGAGCAUGAGCAUAAUUGAAGAGAAAGAAGUGCAGAAUCUGAGAAACAUGGGCAUUGAGAUUAUUAAAAAAUGUGGUUACCUCCCCCUAGCAAUCAAGGUCAUAGCUCGUGUUUUGACAAGCAAAGAUCAAACAGAGAACGAGUGGAAAAAGAUUUUGAGCAAAAUCAGUGCUUGGUCUGAGAGCAAACUUCACGAUGAUAUAGGAGGAGCUUUAUAUCUGAGCUAUAAUGAGUUACCACAUCAUCUGAAGCAAUGUUUCCUUUAUUGUGCAUUGUAUCCUGAAGAUUCUACCAUCGAACGUGAUGAUCUUGUCAGGUUAUGGGUUGCUGAAGGCUUCAUAGAGGAGCAAGAAGGUCAACUACUAGAAGAAACAGGAGAGGAGUACUACUAUGAGCUAAUCUAUAGGAAUCUCCUCCAACCAGAUGGUUCAACUUUUGACCAUACUAGCUGCAAAAUGCAUGACCUCUUAAGGCAGCUUGCUUGCUACUUAUCAAGAGAUGAAUGUUUUAGUGGAGAUCCUGAAUCAUUAGAGGCUCAAAGCAUGACUAAACUACGGCGCAUUUCAGCUGUCACCAAGAAGGAUAUGUUAGUGUUUCCUACCAUGGACAAGGAAAAUCUUAAACUGAGGACUUUACUUGGAAAGUUCUAUGGGGUCUCUCAAGGAGUUGAUCAUUCACUUUUCAAGAAGCUUUUGCUUCUUCGUGUUUUGGAUCUGACUGGUUCGUCCAUUCAAACAAUUCCAGAUUGCAUUGCAAAUUUAAUCCAUCUACGGUUGCUUAACCUCGAUGGUACAGAAAUAUCCUGUCUUCCAGAGUCCAUCGGCUCUCUGAUAAACCUUCAGAUAUUAAACUUGCAAAGGUGUGAUGCUCUACACAGCCUUCCUUCGACAAUCACCCGGUUGUGCAACUUAAGGCGCCUUGGCCUGGAAGAUACACCAAUAAAUCAGGUUCCAGAAGGGAUAGGUAGAUUGACAUUCCUCAAUGAUUUAGAAGGAUUUCCUAUUGGUGCAGGGAGUGCUAGUGGUAAGACACAAGAUGGAUGGAAGUUGGAAGAGUUGGGGCAUCUGUUGCAGCUAAGGAGACUUGAUAUGAUCAAAUUGGAAAGAGCAACGACUUGUACAGAUUCAUUGCUAAUAGACAAAAAAUAUCUCACAAUUUUGAAUCUAUGUUGCACGAAACAUCCGGUUGAAUCUUAUUCAGAAGAUGAUGUUGGCAAUAUUGAGAAGAUCUUUGAGCAGCUUAUCCCUCCACACAACCUGGAAGAUCUAUCUAUUGCCGAUUUAUUUGGUCGAAGGUUUCCCACCUGGCUUGGUACCACCCAUUUGGUCUCAGUGAAAUACUUGAAGCUCAUAGACUGGAAUUCCUGUGUGCAUCUUCCCCCACUCUGGCAACUACCAAACCUAAAAUACCUGAGAAUUGACGGAGCAGCAGCAGUUACCAAGAUUGGGCCCGAAUUCGUGGGCUGCUGCAGGGAGGGAAAUCCCAGAUCCACGGUGGCAGUUGCUUUCCCCAAACUUGAAACGUUGAUCAUCCGGGAUAUGCCCAACUGGGAGGAGUGGUCCUUUGUUGAAGAAGGAGAUGCAGCGGCAGCAUCUAUGGAAGGGGAAGAGGACGGAUCUGCUGAGAUUCGAAAAGGGGAAGCCCCGUCUCCAAGGUUGCAGGUGCUUCCAUGCUUGAAGACGUUGGAACUUUUGGACUGCCCCAAGCUGAGAGCUCUCCCACGACAGCUUGGACAGGAGGCCACCUGCUUGGAACUGCUCGCAUUGAGAGGAGCAAGCAGCUUGAAGGUGGUGGAGGACCUCCCGUUCCUCUCUGAGGCGCUUUGGAUCGUGGAUUGCAAGGGUCUGGAGAGGGUCUCAAACCUCAAUAAAUUGAAAGAGCUGCGUCUGAGUCGUUGCCCAGAGUUGACGUGUGUUGAGGGGUUGGGAAGUUUGCAGCAGCUGUGGUUGGACGAUGGUAUGCAGGACAUCUCUUCAAAGUGGGUGCCGGGGCUUCAAGAGCAGCACUUGAAGCUUCACGGUGAUGACCUGGAUAUCUACACAUGGCCUAGAGGUUGAGAUAAUAACUGCUUAGAUGGCACGCUGGUACAAGGUAUGGAUACUGAACACUGGUUGGCAUUUAGUUUUGUGUAGUACUAUUAAGUAUCUGCUCAAAUAUUCAUGCCCCCAGAGUAGAAAGUCACUGCCGUACUGGAUGCAUUUCAGAUUGUGUACUGUUAUGUGUGAAUUAUGCCUGUUUUCUUUACCGUUCAUUUCCUUAAAAGUGUGUGUUAAUCCUCUCACUAAAUAAGGUUUAUAUAGUGUAACCAACCUAUUAUCUUUGUAUAUGCUCCUGCACUCACUCCAGUUUUUAUUCUAAUAAAAACUACUAAUAUUGUGUUGUGAUGAACUUGUUAGAAAUAAUUUUCUUCAGUUUUCAUGCCGUCCGUCUCAGACCGUAACAGAACUGCAACAUUAACACUCUACUGCAGUUUUCCAAACUUCUAUAUGUUUGUAAUUACGUUUGAGAAAACAUUUGUAAUCAUGCUUAUGCCUGUAAUUGUUUAAUUUGCUUGUGAAGGCACAUUUUAAUCAGCUGUUUGGUCACGGUGUUUACCAAACCAUGGCCUGUUUGUUCAGUAGACAGAGAGCUGUACUCGUAUUGUUUUUUGCGGAAGACACAGUUGGGCAAUGUGCAUGCCUGUGGAGCAAUUUUACAGUUGCUGAUAUAUGUGGCAGGAAGGAAUUACCAUAUCCUGUUCCUGGGCUGUAGUCAGUCUUCUCGGUGAGUCCGAGCUGAAUUCGAGGUGGAGACUGCUAGCCGGCUCAAUGAGUAGAUGAUGCGAAGGUUUCUGAAGAGGGCGUUUGAGGACAUGAUGUGGUUUUAUUUUAGCUGCUAUAUAUUUCACGAGAGGGUGUCCUGUUUUCUGAGGACAGAUUUGCACCUAGUCCUUGCAUCUGUGAUAAUUGCUCUGGAAAUUAAAUCACCGCAGGCCAGUUGGUUUUGAGCAGAAGAAUUUGGUUUUCUGAAUUUCGUUGCAGAAAUCUGUCGCGUGGAUGCUUCUGAAGAAUUUAAUCAUGGAUGCGUACGUAGCAACUAGAGAAUCAACUGAGGAAUAAGAAGCCCAUGCGGCCCAUCCCGGCUGUGUCAUACAAAGCCCAGGAAGGAAAGCCCAAACAUCGUUCUAGCUUCUUCUUCCCCGUUCCCGUUGCCACUCCAUCCAUCCUUCUAUCUCUGCGGCGCCGCCGCCAAUGGAACGGAAACUUCCGUGCGUCCUCCUCCGUCCGCUCCCCGUCUCGAUUCCGAGUAAUCCCAAGAAGUCGACGAUAGGGUUGCAUCGAGGGGGCCGAUAGGUACUAAGGAGUAUAUAUAUCGGAUUGAUUAUCUGCAGGAGGACUGACUAUAUCAAAGCUUAGUUGUUGUACCGAGACGGCGGAAGUACCCACUGAAGCAUGUUUUAAUUUGAGCAUUGCCGAUAAAAUUAUGCAGUAGCCAAUCCAAUCGGCCGAGCAACUCCUUCAUACUGUUUCCGUAAAGAUUGGAUGGAACGGUAAGAAUUAUCUUGUGUUUAAUGGUGAGCAAGCAGUGGGAGGAGCUGAAUGAUGAAGGGUAGAAUUAGAUCCCUGGCACAGCUUAUGAUUGCUGUUACUGCUGUCGACUAAUUUCCUUGUUCUGAUGUGCUUUGAUUUCUUCCUUUGUUCCUUGUGCUUUUAGUCGUUACAGGGUUAGGUGAAUAAUUUGCAUACAUUCGGUAGCAUGUUGCUUGCUGUCACCGACCUAGGGUUAAUUUGGUGUUGACUGCUUAUCAGAUGCGCGAAUUGCAUGAACAAUGCUGAAUUAGACAGGGGGUUGAUGGAAGGGUCGUCUUAUUUUUUUGCUGCAUUUCUCGACAUGUUUGUAUGAACUGAUUCCUAGUGUAAAUUCUAUGACUCCACUGCAGGGGAUUAAAUUGGUGGCUUGUUGCCAUCAGGUACGGUACGUGCGAUUAAAUCCACCGUGUAACAAUUUGCAGCACUGAGUCCUCUCAAAACUGCAAUCUGCACAAGGGACAAGGGGAUGACCACAUCGCCCGUUAGCAGCCAAUGCAUAUGCGGACGAACCUCAACUGUGAACAAUCAAGACUGUAUCGGAUUUAGUCAUUAUUUUAUAUAUGCAGGGAAGCUCAAAGGCGUUGAUUCACUGAACAUAUAUUGGCUUAUCAGUUAUCAAGUAUAUAUUUCCCCACAUUCAGGUAUAUAUUCUUCUCUACUGCAGUGGCUACUUUUGGCUUUCAAAGACUUGACUAGUUAUAAAAUCUGCAACUCUGCACCUCGCAGUGAUGUAAAGGUAUCCUGUACUCCCUCCGUUCCUAAAUACCUGUCGCUGUUUUAGAACAAACUUGCACUAAAACAGCGACAGGUAUUUAGGAACGGAGGGAGUAUUUAUGUAGUUAGUAUCAUUAUCUGGAGCCUGGUGUAGUUCCGGUCAAAAGGAAAACGGGGGCACAAUUAUGGAGGGAGGAUGAAAGAGGCAGUCGUCAUUGGUCACAUAGCCGGAUGGAAACUUUAUUACCCUCGGGCCUUGGCUUCUGCAUCCAGGAUGCUGUCGAUAGAACCGAAUUCAUUCCAUCUGAGUUGAAUUUUGUAGCUGGAUGAAAACUUUAUUACCCUCCCGAGGUGAUCAUGGCGAAGCCGUGUUCUUCAGUCCAUUCAGUGUGGCUUGGAUGGGCACGAGGCGGGGGCUUGUUGCGACAAUUUCUAAAAGUAAUUUUCAUUAGUACCUUGAACAAAAUUUUGGCAGGCCUGGAAUUUUGAGAGAAAAUAAUUUUUUUGAGACCACUGUAGGAUGAUGCAUUGAUGCUUAGGCGGCCUAGUUGCAGCUAAGAGAGAACAAGGGGCCAAGACAAGAGCCGGCCUUUGCCUCCUGUCAAUUUAUCAUUCCCUUCCCAUCAAUCCUCAAAUCUUGCUUCUUGCUGCACCAUACGCAUCAAUACUUUCUUGGAGGCUUCAUAUUUCCUUGUCUGUUUCGUGGAGAGAACUAUUGACUCUAAUAUGGAGGGGAUUUAAAACUUUUCUUUUUCUUGGCCUCGUUAACUCUAAUGUGCUGUAUUUGUCUGCAUGUAACCUCUGCUCUUCAUGCUGUAAUCUGCAAUGAAAAUUCAGGUGGGGAUUCAAAAAAAAAAACAUAAUUUCUUAUCCCAAGUUCCGCGCCCCCACACUGGAACUUGGUAUGCUGCUGUACACGCAGUGGGAUAAGUCUCACAGGUUGCCUUUCAUCUUAUCAUGUGUCCCAAUGCAAGACUUGUUAACUUUCUUUCUUGCUCGAUCCGACGACCUGUCUCACAGCCCUUCACCUAAUUAUGUUAGUUACUCUCCGAUUAAUUCAGUUUGGUAGUUCUGUUCUUGUAGGAACUAUUGACUGCAGAAUCACAAGUCCUUUUUUAAUGGAAUUAUCUGCAGAACAUCAUCGGCACAUAUUUGCUAGGACAUCUGAGGAGGUGAUUGAAUGGAAUGUAUUCCGGACCAAAAUUCUGAAAGAGACAUCCGAUUGACGAGAAUAUCUUUAAAUUCAUUUUGCUAAGACCAGAAUAAAUAUGAUAGGUUCCCUAUCCUAAACAUCUACUUGGAAUGAAUCAUGCAAUGGAUCUCGACCAUGUAGAAAUAACUUAACACAGUUCUUCAGCCUGUUUAAGGUUCAGAGGUGCCUCAAACAAGAGCGUUUUCUUUUUCUUUUUUGAGAGGUGGCCGGGGAAAGACUUUCAAGACAAAUGGCCCACAGAAAACUGGCCUAUGCGAUAUGACGGGCCCUUUGUGUACAAACUGGAUUAUCAAACAGGGCAAUGUAAAAAAGAGGUAUCAAACAGGGUCUUCGGUUUUUAACUUCUAUAUAUCUCUUUACGUACCAACGGAAUAUCAUAAUCAGAUGCACAGGAGACACUACUGGACUGAAUUUCCCAGGAGAGGCUACUACGUAAUGACAAUAUUGACUAGUUCUAAAGUGUGCAGCUUGUGUAAAUUACAAGGGGCCAAGGGCCGGCCAGCAGCAUUAGUUGCUUCAUGCGGCACCAUUUGCUUCAAUACUUUCCUAGAGGCUUCAUAUUUUUUUGUUCUCUGUUUCAGGGAGAGAACGAUGCUGGAUUCUGCUAAGAAUUAAUACAACUUUAUUCGCUUUCAAAACCUCUUUUUUUCUCCAUCUCGUUAACUCUAGUGUGCUGCUGGCAGCUUCGGAAGCACCGCGAUAGGAUUGUUUUUCGUGGCCUUUGGCUCCAGUCUAGGAAGAGCUAUAUUUGUCUGCACGUAACCUCUGCUCUUCAUACUGUAGUCUGUAACGAAAAUUCAGGUCGGGGGUUCAAAAACACACACAAAAAAAAUCUUGUCCCAUGUUUUGUGGCCCCAAGCUGAUUCUUGAAGUUGUAGAUGCAGUGGGACAAGCUGGUACUCUAUGUGGACCAAGGUUUCCACUGAAACCUCACCAGACUUCUACAUAAUCCUUUCGUCGUCUCACUCAUUCUAUCGUCAGGAGAUGUAAGUGUCUUUUGUCGACUUCCAUUCAGUUUAAUUUUUGUAUACUGUGUUUCUAGUAUCAUAUUUAUCAUAAGAAUUUUUCUUCUCAUGUUGUUUAUAGAUAUGGAACCAUCCUUCUGAUAGAUCCAUGUUUAUUUCCCCCUUACCAGUUCAUUGCAAAGAAAGUAUUGUGAUUAUUUCCUGAUAUCCGUUAGUAAUGAUCGAGUUGAUCAUCAGAGGCUGACUACUGCCCACUGGAUGAUUUGACGGCCUUGUUUGGAGAGAUGUCUUUCAAGGUAGGCCCUGUUUGUCAACAGGAGUUCUGAAAGCUUUCCAGUUGUUAGGUUUAGGUGUUAAUCAUGAAAGUAAAUCCAUCGAGCAUCAUAAGAGAUUAUAGUUCGUAAUGCCCUUCUUAAUAAAAGUUAAGUUGGUGAUUCGUACCGGCAACAUAAGCACUCUUUCUUGUAUUGCGUCAAAUGUAUAACAUCGUGGAUCACUCAAGUGCUAACAAUACACUGAUCAUUAUGUCUAACCAUACUAAAUAUAGCCCGGUGUUCAUAAGUGCAUAAAGUGUGAGGAGCCUCUUACACCCAACCCUAGCGCCCCGCGAGCCGCUCCUGCGACUCACGGGGCGACCCCCCACCGCCACCCCAACCUCCCUUCUCCCCCGCGUUCUCUCCCCUUGCCGCUACCACCGGCGGCCGCUGGCCGGCCCGCGGCGGUGGCAGGGCCUUCUAGCCGCCCCACCAUCUCCUCCUCUCCGCCCGUCCUCUUCCCUCGCUCUCCCUCAGGCUCGCGUGAUGGCUCGAUUCGGGCGGCAGGGGCACGACCCGAGGCGGCGCGAUUCCGGUGACGGUGGAUCCACCCGUUGCUGUGCAGGUGCGUGGUCUUGCACGCGGCGGCGCAAGCACGCGGUGGCUCACAGUUUCGCGGUAGCACGGUUCCGGCGACGGCGGCCUGAUUCGCGGCGACGCAGGUGCUCGACGGCUCGCGUGCGGCAGGGUCGUGUGAUGGGCUUGCUGCGCCUGGCGCUGAUUGGUGGCUGUUGCUUGUGCAGGCAGCGGCGGGUCGUGUUGUGGCCGGAAGGCACGUGCUUGGGCGCUGUGGCGGUUCUGGACGGCGAGCGCCCCUGCUGUUGGUGAUGCACUGUUGGUUGAACAGUGCGCCCGGUGUGUGGCAGGGCGCUGCCCCGUCAGGCCGGACGGCAUAUGCCGCUGCUGCGAUGUUGCUUGUUGCCGGCAGUCCGCGCCUGCGAGGGUGUGGUUGGAGGUUGCGGGUGGUUCGGGAGAUGGCUCAGGUGGCGUGCUUGGUGUGUGUUGGCCGGCUUUGCGGGCCGCACGUGGUUGGCCAGUGCUCGAAGAGAGGCGGGCGUUGGUGUGUGGCCUGAUGUGGUCACCGGUGCCGCGUCGCAGGUUUGUCGCAGGUUGUGCGACGUGCGCCUUUGCGCCCAUCCGGCAGUACCUCAGGGCUGGCAGCGGGUGCUUCGCUGGGCUCUAGCUCGGGGUGUUGUCGUGUGCACAGGCCGUUUGGGCCAUGUGCCAACGCCUUCCGGGGUUGGUAUUGUGGCUAGUGCAUGCGCCAAGUUGCGCGGCGUGUGGUGGCCUCUGAAGGCGGGACGGUGGGUCAUCCAGUUUCUUGCACUAGUGUGGUUGUCGGCAUUGUUUAGACUUUGCCGCUGUUCCUUUGCGUUACCUUGGUUACAUCUGUUUUGCUCAUGGCGCUCCGGGUGAAAACCUUGCCUGACCUUUGUCGGUGCCGACGUCGGCGACGUUCUCGGGCGUCGUUCCCUCCUUGGUGGCGUCGUCGAGGAGCCCUGGCUAACCUCCAUGCCCUGUGGUCCAAUCCUUAGGGUGAAAACCCAGAUUUGGCUUGCCGGAUCAGACGAGGGUGACGUUGGUGACGUCGCUCCCUUGUUGGAGGCGUUGUUCUUGGAGGAUAACCCUUGGCUGGAGUGUGUUCCGCUGGCACACGCGUUGGCUUUAGCGAGCAAGCUUUGGGCACACCGACAUCGUGCAAGUGCGCCACCUUGGAUGACAAGGAUAGUGGUUAGCGGAGGAUCCCGUGCUGCUGCAUCUUGGUCGCAUGGGGAAAUGCACUCGACGAGUAUCGACCGACGAAACUGGGCGUUUGUUGUGACCAACAGUGAAGUGGUGAGAUAUGGUGGCGCAAUGUUCGGGACGAGCGCGGUGAUCGGCGGCCGAAGGCUUCUACAGUGGACGAGAUGCCUCACGGGCUUGUCUUCGAGUUCUGCGAGGCCGACGGGCCGCGGCGCCUUCUUCACUAUCCUGUACUUUGUGUAUUUGGUUGUUUGGUUGCGUUGGUUGUAAUGCUAAUCUAGCGGUCGUUGGUCGUGUUCUUGUUUUGAGUGCUCGGUUGUGUCGGCCUGUUCUUGUGCUUGUAAAUACAUUUUUUUUAUCAAUGCAUCGAGACGCAAGCUUUGCUUUUUCUCGAAAAAAGAGUGCAUAAAGUGUAUUUUGUUUUGAUCAACUUAGCAAUUUUACACUAAUAUUGUCCUCUGUUCUCAAUUUAUCGUAUAUUCGGUGGUUUGAGAGUACAUACUCGAGUAGUUUACCCCUUUUUAGUAGCUCCUGUACAAAUACAGAGUCGAACAUGCAGUUUUAUAUCUUGCCAAUCCAUCGGAAGAACAUAAUUUAACGUUGCAAACUUUGUACACCUUUCAGAUCAUGUUCUUGAUCUUCGUUAAUUGACAGGACACAAGGGAGUUGCCUAGUAUUUAAAGGUACAUGUGAUGGCAACCAUAUUAUUUCCUUUUAUUGGGUCAUGUAUAAAAAAGAUUCAAGAACUUGCUACCGACGAGGCGGUACUAAUACUGGGAGUCAAACAAGAGCUUACAGAACUGCAACGAAGAAUGAAGCAAAUACAAUGUUUUGUUAGUGAUGCUGAGCAGAGAAGCAUACAAGAGUCUGCAGUUAGCAAUUGGCUCGGUGAGCUUAGAGAUGCCAUGUAUGAUGCUGACAAUAUUAUUGAUCUGGCAAGGUUUAAAGGAAGCAAGCUACUAGUAGACAAUCCUUCAUCCUCAAGAAAAUCAACUCUAUGCAGUGGCUUCUCACCCUUGUCUUGCUUUCAUAAUAUCCAGAUUCGUCAUGAGAUUGCCGUCCAAAUUAGAAGCCUCAACAAAAGAAUAGAGAAGAUUUCCAAGGAUAACAUUUUUUUAACACUUCAUAACACAGCACCAAAUGGAGAAAUCUCUGUUCCAAAUUGGAGAAAAAGAUCACACCUUGUUGAACCCAACCUUGUGGGAAAGGAGAUCAGAUAUUCUAGUAAGAAAUUGGUUGAGUUGGUGCUUGCACAUAACAAAAAUAAGGAUUAUAAGUUGGCUAUUGUUGGGACUGGAGGAGUUGGUAAGACAACACUAGCCCAGAAAAUAUACAAUGAUCAAAAAAUAAAAGGAAACUUCAAGAAACAUGCCUGGAUUUGUGUUUCUCAAAAUUACAAUGAAGCUAAUAUUCUGAAGGAGAUUCUCCGAAAUUUCGGAGUGCAUGAAGAGCAAGGUGAAACCAUACCAGAGCUUCAGAGCAAAAUUGCAGAAACAAUUGAGGGCAAUAGUUUCUUUCUUGUUCUAGAUGAUAUGUGGCAGUCCAAUGUAUGGACCAAUCUACUAAGAACUUCAUUACACAAAGCAACUGCAGGAGUAAUUUUGGCGACAACACGAGAUGAUACAUUUGCAAUGAAAAUAGGUGCUCAACAUACCCAUCGAGUUGAUCUCAUGUCCAUAGAGGUGGGGUGGGAGCUCCUUUGGAAGAGCAUGGGUAUUGACCAAGAGGAAGAAGUGCAGAAUCUAAGAAACACAGGGAUUGAGAUCAUUCAUAAAUGUGGUUACCUUCCUCUUGCAAUAAAGGUCCUUGCUAGUGUUUUGGCAAGCAAAGAUCAAACAGAGAAUGAAUGGAAAAAGAUUCUGAGCAAAAGUUUUACUUUAUCCCAGAGCAAACUUCCCGAUGAAAUAGAAAGGUCUUUGUAUGUAAGCUACAAUGAAUUACCACAUCAUCUGAAGCAGUGUUUUCUUUAUUGUGCUCUGUUCCCUGAAGAUGCUACCAUCGUGCGUGAUGAUAUUGUCAGGUUAUGGGUCGCUGAAGGCUUUGUAGAGGAGCAACAAGGCCAACUGAGUGAAGAAACAGCAGAAGAGUACUACUACGAACUAAUCCACCGGAAUCUCCUCCAACCAGAUGGUUCAACUUUUGACCAUACUAACUGCAAAAUGCAUGACCUCUUAAGGCAGCUUGCUUGUUAUUUAUCGAGAGAAGAAUGUUUUGUUGGUGAUACUGAAUUAAUAGGCGGUCAAAGCAUGUCUAAAUUGCGACGCCUUUCAAUAGUCACGAACAAGGAUAUGUUAGUGCUCCCUAUAGUGGACAGGGGAAAUCACAAAAUGAGAACUUUGAGAAUUCCUUAUGCGGUCUCCCAAGGAGUUGGUAAUUCAAAUUUCAAGAAACUUUUACAUCUUCGUGUUUUGGAUCUUGCUGGUUCAUCCAUACAAACCAUCCCAGAUUGCAUUGCAAAGUUAAAUCUUCUACGACUUCUUGAUCUCAAUGGUACAAAUAUAUCUUGUCUUCCAGAGUCAAUUGGCUAUCUCAUGAACCUUCAGAUACUGAACUUGCAAAUGUGCAAAGGUUUGCACAACCUUCCUCUGGCGAUCACUAAAUUAAUUAAUUUAAGGCGCCUUGGUAUGGAUUAUACAGACAUAAAUCAGGUUCCAAAAGGUAUUGGUAAAUUAGUGUCCCUCAACGAUUUGGAAGGAUUUCCUAUUGGUGGUGAAACUGUUAGUCGUGAGACGCAAGACGGAUGGAAUUUGGAAGAGUUGAGGCAUCUCUCAAAUCUAAGGCGUCUUGACCUAAUCAAACUGGAAAGAGCAACAACUUGCAGUACAGAUUCAUUACUAAUAGACAAAAAAUAUCUCAAAGUUUUGAAUCUACAGUGCACGAAACAUCUAAUUGAAUCUUAUUCAGAAGAAGAUGUUGGACACAUUGAGAAGAUCUUUGAGCAGCUUAUCCCUCCACACAACCUGGAAGAUCUACUUAUCGUUGAUUUCUUUGGUAGAAAGUUCCCCACCUGGCUUGGUUCCACCCAUUUGGUCUCAGUGAAAUACUUGAAGCUCAUAGACUGCAAUUCCUGUGUGCAUCUUCCCCCACUCUGGCAACUACCAAACCUAAAAUACCUGAGAAUUGAAGGAGCAGCAGCAGUUACCAAGAUUGGGCCCGAAUUCGUGGGCUGCAGGGGAGAUAAUCCCAAAUCCACGGUGGCAGUUGCUUUCCCCAGGCUGGAAUCGUUGGUCAUCAGGGAUAUGCCCAACUGGGAGGAGUGGUCCUUUGUUGAAGAAGGAAAUGCAGCGGCAGCAUCUAUGGAAGGGGAGGAGGAUGGAUCUGCUGAGAUUCGAAAAGGGGAAGCCCCGUCUCCAAGGGUGCAGGUGCUGCCACGCUUGAAGAGGUUGGAACUUGGAGGCUGCCCCAAGCUGAGAGCUCUCCCACGACAGCUUGGACAGGAGGCCACCUGCUUGGAACUGCUCGGAUUGAGAGGAGCAAGCAGCUUGAAGGUGGUGGAGGACCUCCCGUUCCUCUCGGAGGUGCUUUUAAUCUCACGAUGUGAUGACUUAGAGAGGGUCUCGAACCUUCCUCGCGUGGGGAGGCUACGUGUAGAACAUUGUCCAAAGCUAAGGUGUGUUGAGGGGCUGGGAAGCUUGCGGCAGCUGUGGUUGGAUGAGGAUAUGCAAGAGAUGUCUGAGCUCUGGGUGUCUGGGCUCCAACGGCAGUGCCAAAAGCUUCACGAUGAAGACCUGGAUGUGUACGACCGGGCUUGAUUAGCAGCGUUGCUGUAUGGAUUCUGAAGACUGAGGUAUGCCCAAUUGCACCCAUAUAAUACAUAUUUGGGUUUCUAUUCGUUAUCUAGUUCGAUUCAUGUUAGUGCUUUGCUCUGCCACACUCUAUAGUAUGUCUCAAGUACUAGUUCAUGUUAGGGUCUAAAGAAUCUGUAAGCAAUAUUUAGUAGUCCUACUUUUAUGUUUGUAAGCGAUUUUUAGUUUUUUUUUCUCUCUCUCAGUUACCUGAUCGUAGUAUUGCACUCUUUUGGGUUGAGAGUUGCUGCCACGCCCAGCUCUACUACAUGGCAGGGGGCUGUGCUUUUAUACAUUUCCGAACAGAGCUCUUUGUUAGAUAAUCUGAUUGCAUACAAAAUUAUAUAUAAGUGCCCUGGUUAAUUGUUUACUAGGUCUGAUUUCUUUGUCGCUCUUCCGACGGUAGUGAUCAUGUGUUAAUCUUCAUGGAGAGUUACUGUCUGAUAAAUGCAUGCGUCUUUGUUGUCUUGAGCAUGUAUAUCUCACCUAGCAUCUCUUCUACCCGCGUUAGUAUCUUCAUAUAUGUGAUCAUGGUCCACUGUUUCUUAUUCAGUGCUUGUUUACCUUUUUGUAGGCUGUUUAGUCUGAAGAGGUCUUGAUCUUCCAUCGCAAUAGGCGCAGCAUGUGAUGUACCUUCUUUGGGAGAAAAUCAUAAAAAAAAUAGUAAAAGGAAAAAAAUUCCAAAAAAAAUGAUGAAAACACAAAAAGCAAAAAAAGAGAGAAAAACAAAAAUCCAAAAGUUCCUUCAUUUGGCUUGUAAUGGUUAGCUACAUUUGGGCAAACACGUCUAUACUUUUAUGUGAAUUUUGUUUUAGUAGAGUAGGUAACUCCGCCUAUGUGAGGACAAAUGUAAUACUUAUUUCGUGGGCAUAGCCGGUUCCAAGCCCGGGAGAAGGAGAAGGACCAACCAUGUUGCAGCAUCUUUAUACCAACAAAUACAGUACUUGUGUUGCAUAGCUGGUUUGAAGCUCAUCACAUGAUUCUUGUAUGCAGUUUUUCCCAUGUAUAGAGAUGUACUAGUAAUGUACUAGUGUCAGCGUGGAAGACCAUCAAGAAGCUCAUCACAAAGAUUUUUGAUAUGCUGUUAUUGUGGAAGACCAUGGAGGUCAGUUUGUUGAUAUAAACAAACUUUGUUCAUUCAUCAGGCGGUUUCUUUGUUCGUAUCAUGCGGAUUUGAUCUUCAUGACACUUGAUGUUUUCCUGACUAGUCUGAACUGAGUUCAAAUUGGGUGUGCAAAUUAAACAAGUGUAGCAUGUUUGACAAAUUUUUAGCUGCAUCUUAGCCGGUCUGUAUAUUAGUGUUAUUUGUGAUGGGGCGCGUGCUAUUUCGUGAAGGGUUUAAUUUUGUGAAGAUAGUUCUUGCAUCCAUAGCAUGCCAUGUUCUAGAGGUACAGACACUUGAUGCUUUUAGUUAUCCCUUCUUCCAGGUUCGCUUUUCAUCACGUUGUCAAGACCCCAAUUUGCACAGCAUCUCAUCUUGAGUAAGAGCAAGUCCAGCAGCUCCCCGAAACCCUCCCCGACAGAAAAAUAGGGGAGAAACCAGAAAAAUAGGAAAAUCUCUGCUGGGGAUGCCGCAAGAUGGUCUGGCUCCACUCUAGCCUCAGACGCGAGAAACCCUGCUCUCCUGCGCCUGCUCCUGCUGGUUGUAGGUUCGUCCUUUGCUUCCUGCUGUCUGGGGUUAGCUAAAUAAAUUCGAUAGGAUCGAUAUCAUCAUUUCCUGGAACAAAGGUUAAUUUGGCCGUGGCUGCUUAUCAAAUGCGGAAGUUACUCGAACAAUGCUGCACGGCUGACGGAGGAGGUUGAUGGAACGAUUAGCAUAAGAUCAAUAAAUUGGAGGAGCAAUGCUUGGACCACGACAUUUCUCUAGCAAUGGACGCUGGAAGCAAAAGGAAUGUACCGCAGCAGGUAUGCUCUCACGGUGUUUGUGAAUAUGUCAGGCUGGGAAAAAGAACAUGUGUUCGGUACAGCAGAGACCACAAGAGUUGUGUUUACUUCUGCUGCAUUUCUCAACAUCAUUUUACAAGGUGAUGGGUAGUGUUAAUCUAAGACUACUCCACUGCAGUGGGCUGGUGGCUUGUCGCCGUUGACCUGAUUUCCUCUCGCACCAAGUUCUUCCGUUCUGUGGUGCCGCUGGCCAUGGCUAAGCCCUGUUCUUCAGCCCAUUGAGAGUUGAUACUGAUUUCCUCUCGCACCAAAUUAUUCCGAUUUGUAUGCAGUAUGCACACACAUGCAUGCUCAUUCCGAACUCAACUUACAAAUGUGAUGGGUUGUUAGAUAAGCCUAACUGCCCAAGGCAUUCAUUACACAAAAUCUGCUCAAUGGUGUUGCAGAUUUAGAGGAGUUAGCUACCAGUAAUUCUCUCUUUUAGUAAUGAGAUGAUUCAGAAGCUAUCGAGGUUAUAGAUCAGAUAUGUAUUAGACUGAAGGUCAACUAUCCAACAUAUCUCCAUCGUGAAUCACCAUGAAAAGAAGUGGUCAUGGGGAUUUUAUUGCUCGAGAUGCAGGUGUUCAGUUUGUCACUUUGUUGAGCAUAUGGAUAUUUCACAUACUAGCCUUUUCCCAAAAAGAUAUAUAUCUCAUCUAGUGCUUCAUAGGGCUGAUUCUUUAUUUGCAUAUGGUCUGCUUAUAUCUUUACAAAUAUCUUUACAUUUUUCCUGGAUAAUACUAUCUGUUAGUUGUUUAUGUGUCCGUUCCCCUGUUAUCAAUCUAAUUGCCUUAGGCUUUUAUUAUUAUUACUUUUACCUGUCGACACAGAUUCUUAAUUAUCAGCCAUUUGUUCGUAUCAGACACAUGCUGCACAAAGUGAUUCAGUAUGGCUCUGUCGGUUACACAUAUCAGACAGUAAGCUGCACAAUUCGAAGCGGCAGCUCAAAUUCCAGUCCUCUGUGAAACAGGAUCCUUUUACUUUUUCUUUGUUUGAGUGUUGUCAUAAAGACUACAUGUAUCUAAAUUUUAUUUAGGCAUAGAUACAUCCAUAUUUGAGCAAAUUUAAGUCAAUUAAUAUGGGACGAAGGGGGGAGAUAAAUUUGAUGGGUUUGGUAACAUGUGCUUGACAUAUGGGGGAGUUGCAAAGCAAUGAGCAAUGCUGCACCAGGGAUGGAAGGGCUGGUUAAUCAAUAAUUAAUUGGAGGAGCAAUGGACGAUGCCCGUGUCUGGGGCGGCCGCCGCCGAUGAGUAGCGAGUUGUCCGGCCGGCGCGGCUAGGACGCCCGCGGCGAGGAAGGAGGCCGCCGUCGUGUCCCGACCCUGUACCCCCCUCAGACUCCGGCUGGGACAGUGGCGAGCGUUUGUUUGGGGCGAGGAGAGUAGGAAGCAGAGAAGUGUGUGCAGUUGGAAGAGACGGAAGCAGAGCAGACAGUUGAGGCGAGAGUCAGUGCCGUCUAUGAACUUCCUAGAAACAAGAACGAGCAUGAGUAAAUUUAUUUUUGUUUUCAAUUGUUAAACCGGCAUAACAUAAACAUUCUGCAAAUCUUAGGAACUCACUAAGCAAAAAGGGCAUAACCUUAUGAAGCACCCACAACAUCUACCUAGUGUUGUCAUUUGGUCAUCCGUUGUCAAUACUCGACUGUAACGACGUAUGAACCGAUCGCUAUGUGCCCAUGCCAAGUUGAACGAUCGCCCGCGCUCCCUGACCAUCGCGACGACGAGGUUCGGGGAUGCUUUCCGAGAUACACAUGCCCGACCGACUUAGAUAAUCAUGUUGGUCGAGUCGAUGGCCUCUUGUUGGCUACGCACCAAAGUCAAACGGCCUUCGACUCCGGCCUCCCUCCGGUUGAUUUCUAAGGCCGACGGCCAACGUCUAUCUCCACGGAUUUGAGUAGCUCUGCUAUCCAAGCUAAACUUGGCAUGCUGCCCCGGCAUCCACCAAUCCUGCCAACAUGGUUAGCGCCGUGUGGUAGCCACAGCAUCACGACGUCCCUACUAAGCACACAUGCUGCACCACCCACCCCAUCAGGCUUGAGCGGGAGCCAUGCCACAAAGCGGGCGAACGACACUACAAUGAGAGAGAGGCACCGGUCGACCCCCAUCUUUGUCCGGAAAAGCAGACAGGGGGGGGGAGUACUUGCAAGGUAAAUUAGUACUAUUCAUUAAAUAAAAAUGGGAGAAACAUUAGUAUUAGUGUUCAAUUUGCCCCUCCAAUGAUGAACUUCUUUUUUUUGCCCCCUCUAUACUCAAAUCCUGGCUCCGUCCCUGAACUUGUCGCCCCAUAUUGAGAGCCUUAAACCCUCGUGACAGUUCUACAUUUCUCAUGCAUGGAUUUAUGUUUCUCUCGACUCUCGCCUUACGUGAUUCUUCUACGUCAUUAAUUUAUUUAUGUGGUCAUGCUUCUUCUUUGUGUAAGCAAACACUACCUGAUACUACCGAUAGAGAAAAAUCACCUAACAAAUUUAAGGGAAAAGUGAUGAGAAACCAAAAAAGGGGAGAAAAUUAUUUUGGGAAGCUGAAAUAAAGGAGUGAAAUGUUGUUUGUUUAUAAUGUUUGGUUACUCUCAAAGAAACCUACAUGAACUUGUAUAUGUAUUUAUUCUUAUUUUCAUUUCUCGGGCAUGGUAUGUUAACUCCUCCCAUGUAAGCUUAGAGUUAUGUUUUUUUAGAACACAGUACAAACGCAGAAGCUCACAACACGCGCAUACACUCAUCCCUAUGAAUAGUGGCGGAUCUAGGGGGUGGCCAGGGUGGUCCCUGAACCACCCUAGGAUUUUGGGCCCUUCAUAAUCACAUGAACAGCACUCACAAAAUAGAAGAAAAAUAUAAUUUUGAUGAUUAAUACUCCCUCUGAUCCUAAAUUGUUGUCGAAAUAUUACAUGUAUCUAGACGCCUUUUAAAAGUAGAUACAUCCAUAUUUGGACAAAUUCGAGACAAAAAUUAGGAUCGGAGGGAGUAUUACUGUUGGACCACCCUGAAUUUCUUGGCUAGGUCCGCCAAUGCCUAUGAACGCACACACGCACACCCUACCCCUAUGAGCACAUCCGAAAGACUAAGCCGGCAGUUCUUAAGAGAUUGACGAAGUCUCCGCUGACGCCUCGCUAUUGACGGGUACGUCACCUACCACUGAAAGAAAAAGUGCCGGUUAAAUCAUCCUGGAAUAAUCCAGGUAAAUGUGACACCCUAAGUCUAGUACUUGAACCUGGGUGGGCUGGUUCCACCACAAGGAACCAGACCACUUGAGCGGCUCAGUUCACAGCUUAGAGUUAUGUUGCAUAGCUAGUUACAAGAUCAAGUAGACUUAGGGUGUGUUUGGUUCUGCUUUGCUUCCAGGAAAAGCUGCUUUGCUUUUUGUGCUGUGGAUAAGCAGGAAGCGUGUUUGGUUGGGACUGCUUUUGCUUUUGUAAUGACCUAAUCACAGUUUAUAUGAGAAUUGAUCGUAAACCAAUGAUCUUUGAGUUGAUUGUGACGACGAAGAAAAAUGUUCUUUUUCUAACUAUGCUUAUGUUUACAUGACAAAUAAAGACCUUCGUUCUAUAUUAUAAAUUUAUGACACAAAUACAUACUACUGGCAUCCUGGAAUACCAUGUUUCUGAAAUCUCAUACAUAUAUGUAAUGAUAAUGGCAUCCUCAAAUAUCCAGGAAAAAUUGAACUAAAAAUAAAAAGAAAAGGACAGAGGCCUCAAGGGGGCGGCCUCCUGCUGCAUCUUCCCGUGGCCGCCGGUGAGGAACAGAGGCAGGCCGGGGUCGGGCGUGGAAGGGGGCAGCCGGGGACUAGUGGGCGUGGAAGGUGAUAAGGGGUGGCCCGAUCUUCUCGUUGAGCUCGUUGUGGAUGGAUGAUAACACGCGAGAUGCUGACGAAUCUCUAGUUGUUUCCUCGUUGCCAAUGCAACAAUUCUCAACCCUAGUUGAUAUUCGCAACACCACACGCUUGUGCACGUAGCCACCGACCACGAAGCGGUUCUGCAAUCUACCAAUUCCCAAUGGAACAAUAGAUAAACACUUGAAUCUUCAGUAGCAAAAAACACCAGAUCGAAACAAAGUGGUGGAGAUAAAUUCCUGAUCGAAUCAAAGAGGAAUAUAAUUUCAGAUGAAUGCUUGCAGCAGUUCAACAAAAGGUUCUGAAUAAUCUAAACGUGGUCUCCCUAACCCUAAGCGUACCCCUUGUAUAUAUAGGUGAGGGGCAGCCCAAACACAUUACAGACUCAGACUCAGAUUCAAACUCAGACUCAAACUUAAACUCAGACUCGACUCAUACUGGAUUCCGACUCAAACUAGAAUUCGACUCAAACUAGAAUUUGACUCAAACUAGAAUUCGACUCAAAUAUGGACUCGCAGAUCCGGGCGCCCCUUAGACGUGUCGGGCUCGUCGUAGGCUGUCCUAGUGCGCCUCGUACCCGUACUCAACUUGUGGUGCAACCUGUGCAUAUCAUCCUUGUCGUUGGCUGCCCCUUGCACACAAGUCAUUCUUCUAACUUGUAUCUUUCAUCUUCACUUGUGGUGCGUCUGCCUCCCUCGCGCAUAUCUUGAUGUUGGAUAUCAACACUUGAGGAUCCGUGCCCUCAUCAUCCUCCCCUCCUUCGAAAGGCGUUGUCCUCAACGCUGAAAGGUCUUCUCCAGUGGGUGGCGUCAGAUCAGCAACAUCGCCACACUCCGUCUUCAAGCCUCGCCAACCUGCCACACCACGUCCUCCCUCUUGGCUAGCUUCUCCUGCCCUCGGUGCCACUUCCGUUGUCGGCGCCACCAACCUGAUUGAGACAUAAAGCAUCCUCCAAAUGCAAUAAAGCACACCUUGCAUAUCACCCCGAACAAACAGGACAAAUUCCUGUACGCUAAGAGUCCAAAUAAGCUGAGUACACCCGUAUGUGCAAUCUGUUGUAAACCAAUGUCUCUUUUUCCUUUUAAUCAUUUCCUUGUUGUCCACGUGUAGCCAGAAACUUCCCGGAACUCGGAACUCGGAACUCGGAAAUUGCCGGAACUCGUAACUUGCCGGGACUUGGAACUUGCCAGGAAGUUGGAUCUGAAUUGCUUGGCUUCACGUGCACACACAAAUCUCUUCUUCUCUUUUUUCUUAGGUUGCUCACCGAGUAAACACUGGAAAUCUGAUACCAAGAUGAUAAGGGGUGGCCCAAUCUUCUCGUUGAGCUCGUUGUGGAUGGAUGGUAACACGCGAGACGCUGACGAAUCUCUGGCUGUUCCCUCGUUGCCAAUGCAACAAUUCUCAACCCUAGUUGAUAUUUGAAACACCACACGCUUGCGCACGUAGCCGCCGACCACGAAGCGGUUCUGCAAUCUACCAAUUCCCAAUGGAAUAAUAGAUAACACUUGAAUCUUCAGUACCAAAAAACACCAGAUCGAAACAAAGUGGUGAAGAUAAAUUCCGGAUCGAAUCAAAGACUAAUAUAAUUUCAGACGAAUGCUUGCAGCGGUUCAACGAAAGGUUCUGAAUAAUCUAAAUGUGGUCUCCCUAACCCUAGGCGUACCCUUGUAUAUAUAGGCGAGGGGCAGCCCAAACACAUUACAGACUCAGACUCAAACUCAGACUCAGACUCAGACUCAAACUCAGACUUGACUCAUACUGGAUUCCGACUCAAACUAGAAUUCGACUCAAAUAUGGACUCGCAGAUCCGGGCGCCCCUUAGACGUGUCGGGCUCGUCGUAGGCUGUCCUAGUGCACCUCGUCUCGUACUCAACUUGUGGUGGAACCUGUGCAUAUCAUCCUUGUCGUUGGCUGCCCCUUGCACACAAGUCAUUUUUCUAAUUUGUAUCCUUCAUCUUCACUUGUGGUGUGCCUGCCUCCCUCGCGCAUAUCUUGAUGUUGGAUAUAAACACUUGAGGAUCCGUGCCCUCAUCAGAAGGAGGCGGCCGAAGAUGGGGUUGUGGAAGGGGACGGCCGGAGACGGGCGUCGGGGCGGGGCGGGCAGACCAGGGAGUUGGCCAGAGAGGAUGCGGAGUCGGGCGUGGAGGCGCGCGGGAUGGGGCUGGGUCCUCGGGGCGGGCCGCCGGAGCUCCGGUAGGGGAGCUCUAGGGCUCCUCGGUCUUGCUUGCUUGCUUCGCUCGAUGGCUCUUUCUAAAAAAGAUUCGGUCGGGGGUUAGAGAAAUAGACGAAACGUUUUCACUUAUCAGGUGGCAGCGUGGGUAAAUAAUUCAAAGUUUGCCAAGGAAAAGCAACCAAAAGUAUCUCUGAACCUACUUUCAUAAUUGUACUGCGAAAAGCAAUUUGCUUUUGUGCGUUUUGCUUUGAAAAAUACCCUUUUGGUUAGUUUUUUUUUUGCCUUUUGGAAGCAAAAGCAGAAAAGCAGGCUACGCCCCCUUAAUCAAAUUCUCAGCUUAUUAUUUUUUUUUGAAGGAAAAAACUUUCCAUUAUGGCAGAACGGCCGAGAAAUUACAGUUGUUUACAAUCACGGCUUGAUCAGCCCAGGGUACCCCAUCAGAUGAGAUGCCCGAAGAACUAUUGUUCCUAGCAAACUGGGUGAGGUUAUGGGCGAUGGAGUUCUUUGACCUGCAUGCCCAGGUACAGCAGGACGCGGUGAACUUCUGGAGUGCAGCCCUAAUUUCAAAGAUGGUAAAACAGAUGGCCGACCGGUCCGCAGUGUCUUCAUGCAUUCUGGAGACGAGGUCGAUGCAGAUCUCAGCUUAUUUAAGCAUGAUCUCGUCCCGGUAUUGUCGUAUCUGGUGUUAUAUUUGCGAGACAAAAUUUUUAUCAGCUCUUAAGUAACCAUAUAUUGAAGACUAUUUAUCCUAUAAAUUUACGCAUGUAUGGAGAUGUCUUUAUUGUCAAUGUGGAAGAGAUCGAGGUUAGUUUUUUUUUUGAUUGAGCGAAGUUUGUUUUUUUUUUGAGCGAAAAAAAAAGACCAUCACAUGUAGUCAUCUUUUUUUUGCCUUCACUUCAAACUGGAGUAUGUGUAUGAAUGAAUUGAGUUGCAAAGCUUUUUGCAUUUUCUCGGUGAAAAAAAGACAUUCAUUUUUUGAAAAUCAUCCUACCUAUCCAUAAAAUAUAAUUUUCUUUCUGUUUCACCUUGAAGUUAACAUCGAUCGUAUCAGAGUUUUCAGGUCAUCUCACCUGAAUUACCUUUUCCAUUUUUGCAGCAUUGUUGGCAGUUUACCUGGAAACUGUCGACCACUUCAGAGGAAUUAUUGACAAAGUGACCUUUUUGUUUGGGGCAGUCAAAGGAAAGUGAAGGCUUAAUUUGAUGCGUGUGGAUAUUAAUACAUUACACUGGUCUGAACAAAACUCACAAUCCCUCCCCGUGGAAUCUCGAGGCAAAUACUAGUAGUAUUCACAUGAUUUUGCUUUUGAACAAUAUAUAUUAAAAACCCGACAACAAUUCGUAGGAAAAAAUACAACUAAAUAUGUUCAUUGGUACCACCGAUUCCAACAGCUAGUGAACACCGCAACAGUUUGCUUGGACUAAUCGCCGCUGGUUUAUAUUUUUCAAGUGUUAAGCAGGCCUUGAUCUGAUGAAAGUGGGAGGCUGGGGACCACCACAUGAGCUUGCUCUUUCAUAUGUUGGAUAAACACUCUACUCGUCCUCGCACGCGUGAUGGAUUCCAGUCCGAGAAGAAUUAGUAUUCAUCACCGUAUACGAUUAGAUAGCUCCUAAUAUUUGCAUCCAUAAGUAUAUGUAAUCGUUCCCCGUAAAACUUCAACCCCAGAAAAUUCAGAAAUAAAGAGAACAGGCUCGACGGGCCUGUAGCAAUUUCCAAACAAAUCGAUUCCUCUCGUGCGUGUGUUGCUUGACGUGCGUGAUUAGUAGAGCUAGCUGAUCGCUGAUCGAUUGCUGCUGCUUUGCUAGUGUGUUGCUUGACGUGCGUGAUUAGUAGAGCUAGCUGAUCGCUGAUCGAUUGCUGCUGGCUUUGCUAGUGUGUUGCUUGACGUGCGUGAUUAGUAGUAGAGCUAGCUGAUCGCUGAUCGAUUGCUGCUGGCUUUGCUCUGUACAUGUGCAUCUCGCCGGAUUCCAUCAGAUCGUGGGAAAGUACUCAGACGUGUUUCCGACCUCUGCGAUCUGAACCAAGAUUUGGUACCAGAGCCAGGUUAAUCGAUCAGAGGCCUCUUCCUAGUAUCCGGGAAGGAUAUCGACGGAUACAGAAAGCGUAACGUCGGCAGCGUUCUAUCUGAAGCUUGAUCGCAAGGAGUACUGUGAGAUCGAGAUAGGCAACCAGAGGGGGAUGAAUGAUUGCACGGAAGCAAAUUAAAACUUUUCCCGAAAAUUCAAACCCUAAAUUACCUUUCUGUCCGUGAUAGUAAAAUAGUCGUAACUUUGUAUUGGAUGAAUCAAAAAAUACGUAUGAGUAUGCAAAAGAGAGGUAUUGAAAUUAUCUAACCAAUGCAACAAGAAUCAGCUCAAUCGGACAUACUAAUCAAAAGAUAUGAUCAAAACAGUAACAGAUGACAGAAAGUUACGAGGAUUAAUCUAAAACCAAUUUCGAGAAAUAAUAAGAAAGAUGAAGUAAUCGCGAUCUUUCCUUGAUCUCGUGAUAAACCUGCAGCAAAGUAUUAUGAACUCGUGAUGAACCUGCAGCAAAGUGUCAGAGAGAUCUAGCACGAAGAAUUCAUAAAGAUCCGAAAAGAACAUAGAUGACACAGCCAACGAAUUUCUUUAUUGCAACGAUGUCGAUCGAUUACAAAAAAUGCAACCAUGCAUCCAAGAACUCUCCAAGAAAUUGAUUUAGAUCCAAAGCUUUGAGUUGCCUCACGUCCUUGCUAAAACCCUAGCUAGGACGCCCUCUAUUUAUAAGGGAAAAUUCGCGACCAUAAACCGAGUCCGAAUCCAACACGAACUCCUCUGUCCCGGUCGGUAUUCUGCCCAUGGGGCCCGCAUACGACCACGGAUUGAGAUGACUCCAAAACUAAAGUUGUUCGCCUCGACGACGUGCACAACUUUCAUGUGGACGCCAUCUUGAUGACGCCACUGUUUAAUCUUUAAACAACUCUCAUCCAACCACGGCUGGACCUAAAUGUCUUCACGUCGAUGCCACUGUGUCGCACCGCUGCACGACGCGUGGGUCGCAUCGCUAGGUUCCUGGAAGGAUCUCACCCCGGGCGGCAACAUGCAGGCUGCCCGGCUAGCUACCAGCCCGGCAGGGCUAGCGGGGCUUCGGGGAAUAAUCCCGCCUGGGCACUUCCCGGGAAGGCACUUGCCAGGAGGAGACGUUCCCGGGCACAAGUUUCCGCCGCGAGGACGGGGCUGAGUGAACAGAGCAGCGGCGCCACGUGGGCGCGCGGCAGGCUCCCGGUGUGCAGGGUUGCCAGGACGAGGAGUGAGGCGCACGACGCAUUUAAUGACCCGACAGGAGGGGGGUUAUCCGUCUAGUCAGGCAAACAGUGGCUGCUCAGGGCUAGUUUUUAGGCCAUAGACCCCUAGUCGCGGGGUUGGCGCUCUUUCAUGCAUGCCAGCGCACCGAGGAGGAGCUGCCCAAGCUCCUUGCUCGCCACUUGUAAUUCAUGCACCGUGGCACCUGUGGUAUCCCCUUGGCUAUAAAAGGAGGACCCCCGCCAGCGGUCAAAGGGUCGACGGACCGACUGGUUCAUCCGUUCGCUUUUUGGUGGACUGAGUCACAGUUCACUGCCACUAGUCCAGAAUAGCAAGGAGCACUUAGCCAAAAAGAGAGCACCCGGGGACCCUCCCCCGGCAACUUGUAAACACUCGAUCUUACGAUAAUACGAGCUCAGACAAGCAGGACGUAGGAUUUUACACCGCAAGGUGGCCCGAACCUGGGUAAAAAGCGUUUUCGUGUUCAUUACAUCCUUAUGCUUUGCAUCGACCUCGCCGGCGAUCGCCGGAGCGAUCUCCGUAGCCCACUGCCGAACCUAAAAGGGGGUGCCCGCGCAUCCCCGGUGUCGGAGCCCCGUGCGACGACACACUCCAUGCCAUCAACUCUUCUUGUGAUGUCUUCAAAACUCGACCAUCACGUGUCGAAUAUGUCCAAUACCGUACAUCUCCGGUAUAAACAACGUACGACAAAUCGGUGCCCUCCCGGAUCAUCGUAGCUUCACUUUCAUUGUUCCUUCGCACGAACGUCCCGCAUGACCUUGAUCCCUCGACCUCAGCUUCUCCCAAGCUUCGUCCCUCGAUCCCGUCAUCGACCACGUUCCUCUAGCUCCGGCAACACCUGAAAGCGAACACUCAAAUAACCAAUACGAGCACAAGUCCACGACUUGACUCAGGGUAAGUUUCACACAACUCACACCAUGUUUUCACAUAAGAAAUUAAUGGAUCAACACACCACUAGCAAAGCACUAAGUCCAAACAAGAUACAUGUCAUCACAUGAGUAUCUAUAUUAUCCAAAGUAUCCACGUCAAUGUUUCACCUAAAACACUUGCCAAUGUUACACAUCACCUAUGAUUUCACAAGUACAACAUGUGGGCAAUAAAGAUGGAAGUCGCGAUGGAAUCUCAGAAUAUCUGGGAGGCGGUCGACCCUGGAGGCAAGGAGUACGCCAAGGGCGCGGCAAAGUAUCGCAAGGACCGACUAGCACUGACGGCAAUUCAUGGGGCCCUGCCCAACGAUGUGCUGCAACAUAUCAUGGGAAAGAAAUCGGCCAAAGAAGCUUGGGACACGGUGAAAACCUUGCACCAAGGUCACGCGUGUGUGCGCGAAGCAAAUCUUCAGAGCUUGUUGAAAAGCUACGAAAAUUUGAAGAUGGGAGACGAUGAAUCUGACGACGCCUUCGGAGCAAGGGUCACCACGCUGGUGAACAGCAUAAGGCAACUCGGCGAAACGGUCACUAAGAUCUCGAUAGUACGCCGAUUUCUUCGUGCAGCAUCUCCUCGGUAUAUGCAGAUCGUCACCUCAACUGAGCAAUGCGUGGAUCUCGCAACGCUCACCGUAGAUGACCUAAUCGGUCGCUACAAGGCUCAUGAUGAGCGCCUUCGAACUUAUUUUGCCAAAGGCAAGGAAGAUGAGUAUCUGAUGCUGACUCGGGCACAAUGGCAGGCUCUCAACAAGAGAAGUGGUGAAUCCUGAAGUGGAAGGAAGGAGCAGCCGCGAGGGUCUACACGUGAACCGAAGAAGAAAGCUCAGCCCGCUGGUGAUAAGGGAGAAGCACCAAAGUGGAAGUUUGACAUCAAAAAGGUCAAGUGUCACAAUUGUGGCAUAUACGGGCACUUUAAAACUCAGUGCCAAAAGCCAGUAAAAGAAGCAGCUUACAUCGCAAAGGAGAACGAUGAUGAACCGGCCCUCUUGAUGAUGGAAAUUUGUGAACUGAUGGAAGAAGAUGCAAAUCCGCUGGAACCUGAAGCUACAGAAAUGCUGAACCUUAUUGAAGAGAAAGUAUAUCUUCAUGACAAGGAAAGACAGAAUUGCGCAUCAAACCUGUGGUACUUGGACACAGGAGCCAGCAAUCAUAUGACAGGCGACGAAUCUCAAUUCACAGAACUAAACAUUGGCGUGGGAGGCACGGUGCGGUUCGGCGAUGGAAGGACUGUUGGAAUACAAGGACGUGGCACUGUCCUAUUUGAAACCAGGAACGGCGAUCACAAGGUACUAACCGAUGUGUAUUUUAUACCGAAACUAAAGAGCAAUAUUAUCAGCCUUGGACAACUUGAGUAACGAGGCUGCAAAAUAGUGCUCGAAGAUGGUUACUUGUGGGGGUACGAUCGACAGAGGCAGCUACUGAUGCGUGUGAAAAGGGUGAAGAACCGGCUGUACAUACUCAGCCUCGAUUGAGCCGAACAUGUGUGCUUAGUGGCUAGCUUGGACGAUGAAGCUUGGAGGUGGCACGCUCGCUAUGGUCACCUAAAUUUCCAUGCGCUUCGUCAACUUGGCCAGAAGGAGAUGGUGCGUGGCAUGCCAUGUGUGCAACACAUAGAGCAGCUGUGUGAUGGUUGCCUUGUUGGCAAACAAAGAAGGGCACCGUUUCCAAGAGAGGCACAAUACCGUGCCAGCAAAGUACUAGAGCUCAUGCAUGGUGAUCUGUGUGGGCCUAUAUCUCUCGCAACGCCUGCUGGAAAUAAAUAUUUUGUACUUGUGGUUGAUGACUACAGCAGGUACAUGUGGAUAGUUCUGCUGAAAAGUAAAGAUCAGGCGUUACAAGCCUUCAAAACAAUCAAGAUUGCAGCUGAGGUGGAAGCUGAAGCAAAGUUGAAGGCAUUCCGAACUGAUCGUGGAGGGGAAUUCACCCCCAAUGAGUUCACCAUGUAUUGUGAACAACACGGGAUCAAGAGAUUCUUGACGGCGCCCUAUACCCCUCAACAGAACGGAGUGGUGGAAAGGCGUAACCAAACAGUGGUGGCAAUGGCAAGAAGUAUGCUUAAGAGCAAGAAUCUCCCUGGAAAGUUUUGGGGUGAAGCUGUCACUACUGCCGUCUAUUUGCUCAACAGGGCACCAACAAAGAGCGUGGUUGGUAUGACUCCAUAUGAAGCAUGGUGUGGAAUAAAGCCAAGUGUCGAGCAUCUACGCACCUUCGGGUGCAUCGCCCAUGUGAAGACCGUCUCGGGUCACACCUCAAAGCUAGCGGAUAGAAGCACGCCGAUGAUUUUCAUUGGAUAUGAAGCUAGCUCGAAGGGACACUCAAAGGCAUAAAGAGUGUAUUAUCCAGCAACCAGGAAGGUCCACGUCACUCGAGAUGUUAUAUUCGAGGAAGAGAAGAUGUGGCUGGGAUAAAACAUAACCGAGACGAGUGAACAAGGUACGAGUGAAAUAUUUCACGUACAUUAUGAUAACCAGGUCGCUGCAGGUCAUGGUGAUGGUGGUGAUGGACAUCAGCAUGAGGAGAAUUGGGAGGAGCCCCGAACUCCUUCGGGUCACAGCGGAGGGGGUGGCAACUUCUCGUACCCGCAGUCUUACCUUGACACGAAGUAUCUCUGCCGCGGCAGAGAAAUCUUCUACCGCGACAGAUAGGCAAGAUGCAGCGGACCAGCAAAGCAGUGAAGCUACCGCGGCAGGGAAUUAUUCAGCCGCGGCAGAACAAACAGAAGAGGAAGAGAACCAGCGAAGCAGUGCUGCAGCCACGAAUUCUGCCGCCGCGGCAGGAAACUCUGCCGCCGCGGCAGAACAGACAGAGGAAGUACAGUCAGCUUCGGGGGAAGGUUCAGCGCGAGCUAUGCGACGCCUGAGAUGUCGAUACGUACACGUACACGUCGUCCGACUCCAGUGAAGCUUCGCCUGCUGUCUGAGUUGUAUCUGCCUCCGAAGAAAAUAAUCAGGAAACCGAAGCCGGCUAAAACGACACGUGCAACAAGAUCCAAGUGCCUACUAAGUGUUGAGGAACCAGCAACGUUUGAGGAAGCAAAUGAGGAGGAAAGUUGGCGUGUGGCAAUGAAAGAAGAGCUGGUUUCGAUAGAAGACAACAAGACAUGGAGUCUUGUUGACCUGCCCCAUGGUCAGAAAGCAAUUGGCCUAAAGUGGGUAUACAAAAUCAAGAAAGAUGCCGAUGGUGAAGUCGUAAAGCACAAGGCCAGAUUAGUGGCUAAAGGAUAUGUUCAAGAGAAAGGUGUAGACUUUGAAGAAGUGUUUGCCCCGGUGGCGAGGAUGGAAUCAGUGAGAUUUUUGAUAGCACUUGCAGCUCAGAAUAUGUGGAAAUUGCAUCACAUGCACGUGAAAUCUGCUUUUCUGAAUGGAGAGUUAGAAGAGGAAGUAUAUGUGAAGCAACUUCCUAGUUUUAUCAAGGAAGGGGAAGAACACAGAGUGUUUAAACUACACAAAGCAUUAUAUGGCUUGCGACAGCCACCUCGGGCAUGGAACAUCAAGCUGGACCGAACCUUGAUUUCCCUUGGUUUUGAGAAAAGUCCUCUAGAACAUGCAAUGUAUAAACGAGGAGUUGGAGACAGCCUUCUACUAGUUGGCAUCUACGUAGAGAUGAUCUGUUGAUAACAGGAGCACAUGAAAAGGAGAUUGCAAAAUUCAAACUUCAGAUGAAAGAUUUGUUCAAGAUGAGUGAUCUAGGGCUGUUGACCUACUAUCUGGGUAUUGAGGUACAUCAACAACCUGCUGGAAUUUCACUUUGUCAAGAAGCAUAUGCAAAGAAAAUUCUGAAGACUUGUGGUAUGGAUGAUUGCAAUCCAACUCAUGUUCCCAUGGAGCCUCGGUUCAAAUUAAGUAAGAAGAGUGAGGCAGCGUUGGUUGAUGCCACGGAAUAUAGAAGCAUUGUGGGUAGUCUUCGGCACCUAGUAAACACAAGGCCCAACCUAGCAUAGUCGGUUGGGAUAGUGAGUCGGUAGAUGGAAGCGCCUACAACUGAACAUUAUGCUGCUGUAAAGCAAAUACUCAGGUACAUAAAAGGAACAACAAAUUUUGGUUGUAUGUACAUGAAGAAAGAAGGGGUGGCCAAGCUACAUGGCUACAGUGACAGUGAUAUGGCAGGAGAUGUGGAUGACCGUAAAAGUACUUCGGGCGUUGUAUAUUUUCUGGGAAAUAGCAUGAUCACGUGGUUGUCACAAAAGCAAAAGGUGGUAGCAUUAUCAUCUUGUGAGGCUGAGUAUAUAGCAGUAGCAACAGCAGCAUGUCAAGGAGUUUGGUUAGCACGGCUCCUAGCAGAUGUGAUGAAUCAAGAAGUAGAACAAGUGGUGCUAUAUGUUGACAACAAGUCUACGAUAUCAUUGAGUAAAAACCCAGUACACCAUGACAGAAGUAAAUAUAUUGAUACUCGGUAUCAUUAUCUGAGAGAGUGUGUGGAGGAAGGAAAGGUGGACGUCAACUAUAUUUGCACCGAUGACAGCUUGAGGAUAUCUCGACGAAGUCGCUGGGAAGGCAGAAGUUCGUUGAGAUGCGAGGAAGAAUUGGUGUUCAAGCGGUCAAAGAGCACAUCGUGCUUAGAGGGGUGAAUGUUGGAUAAGCACUCGUACUCGUACGCGUGAUGGAUUCCAGUCCGAGAAGAUUUAGUAUUCAUCACCGUAUAGGAUUAGAUAGCUCCUAGUAUUUGCAUCUAUAAAUAUAUAUAAUUGUUCCCUGUAAAACUUCAAACCCAGAAAAUUCAGAAAUAAAGAGAACAGCCUCGACACAGGCCUGUAGCAAUCUCCAAACAAAUCGAUUCCUCUCGUGCGUGUGUUGCUUGACGUGCGUAAUCGUGUUGCUUGACAUGCGUGAUUAGUAGAGCUAGCUGAUCGCUGAUCGAUUGCUGCUGGCUUUGCUCUGUACGUGUACGUCUCGCCGGAUUCCAUCGGAUCGUCGGAAAGUACUCGACGUGUUCCGAUCUCUGCGAUCUGAACCAACAUCAUAUUCCUCUAAUCCUAAUGGCAGACCAAUCCUGGUCAUAGCAGCAGCUCGGGGUCUCAGGAUUCACACUGCCUAGCUUGUGGAAUCUCGAGGUAAACUGUACUGUACUAAAUUAGAUAAUUAGAUUCGGCAGCCAAGCCUAGGAGUUGUUAAUCUAUUCACUGGAUGAACGCUCCUAGGUUUUUUCGAAAGGGGGGAAACCCCCGGUCUCUGCAUCAAUCGAUGCACACAUUCAUUUUAUUAGGAAGUUCAGUGUCACAGAAAUACAACUUAUGCGUUACUCAAAGUUGACACAAAAAUCAGCCACCGGAAUAAAAGAACAAAAAAUGUCUAUGCAUCAUGUAGCCAGAAUUCUACCAGUGAACCGCCAUCCACCCUGACUAAAGAUAUCCCGAGUAACCGUCUCCAGACGGUUGCACCCAGUACCCAAAAGCUACCGCUAGUCCACAGGGAGUAGAUAAGACCACAAAAACGGAUCCAGUGAGUGGCCCUGUAGAGUACCUGCAAAAAAUUGAGCACUCUGGUCUUGUUAAAAACAAUGUCAUUACGGUCAUUCCAAAUAGCCCAACAAACAACAGAAACUCUCACCCGAAUUUGAGCUUUAAGUUUUUUAUCAACACCAUUCAACCAAUUCCCAAACAUAUUUGUGACAUUGGUUGAAGGUGGCAAAUUAAAAGAAACAUGAACAAUUUGCCACAAAAAACGAGCAUAAGGACAAGAUAUAAACAAGUGAUGGAUAGUCUCCUCUAAUCCGCAAAAACAGUUUACACCCAUCCCAAUUGCGCUUAGCAAGAUUGUCCUUUGUGAGCAGCACUUUCCUAUAAAGAAACCACAUAAAAAUCUUGAUUUUCAGAGGUAUUUUAAUCUUCCAUAAAUAUUUUUGAGGAAAAACAAUAUUUCCGUCCAUUAAGUCCCUAUACAUAGACUUAACCCUAAAAACCCCAUUUGUCUUAAGUUUCCAAGAAAAACAUCAAGAUCAAUAGAAAGGUGAACCAUCAUUAAACGUUGGACUAAAUGUAACCAAGAUGUCCAUUUAUCCCCUGUCAGUGUACGUCUAAAUCCAAUAUUCAGAGGAACAGAUGACAGAGCAGUCGCAACCAAAACACUUUUUCGUUGCACAAUCUUAUAUAAUGAUGGAUAUUGCUGGGCAAGAGGUCUAUCACCAAGCCAAGUAUCUUCCUAGAACCGAGUGCUCAUUCCAUUCUCAACAAUAAAGGAACCACGAUUGAAAAAAGCUGUCUUAACUCGCAUAAGUCCUUGCCAUAGCCUGAACUUGAGAAAGAGUUUUAGAAUGAAGGUAUUUAUUAAGCAACAACUGUUGCCACAUACCCUCCUCAUUAAGAAGCUUAAACAGCCAUUUGCUGAGUAAACACACAUUUUUAAUAUCCAAAAGCUCUAUCCCCAACCCCCCUUGUUCUUUAGGACGACAGAUAAUAUUCCACUUUGUUAAACGAUACUUUCGUUUAUGUUCAUCACUUUGCCAAAAAAACUAGAUCUAUAAAAAUCAAGGCGCUUCCGUACCCCUUUAGGUAUUUCAAGGGAAGACAACAUAAACAUUGGCAUACUUGUGAGAACAGAAUUAAUAUGCACAAGGCGAUCUCCAUAUGAGAGUAACUUGCCUUGCCAACAUCCCAAUUUUUUCUCAAAGCGGUCCUCAACAGACUUCCAUUCCUUGUUAAGGAGCUUCCUAUAAUGAAUAGGGAUACCCAAAUAUUUAAAAGGCUGAAGCGAUCCUCCCCCUUACAAAGGGUUCGAUCUCUGUGCUUACUGUGCUAGUCCCUGGAUCGACUCACUAGCACACACAGUUUCAUGAUGAAGUAUACAGAAACGAAGGUCAAAAGUACUUUAUUACAUCGCAUCAUCCAGAAUUUAAAUAGUACUUACAACCUCGCAUGACCUCUUGGGUCAACAUAAAACAAAUACUGUUUUCUCAUCAUAAAACAAUGUUUCGAAACUGCAGCGAAAAAGGGGAUAACAAAAGGGCCUCAACUACUCCACGGUGAGAGCAUGUUGGAAUGUAAGCACAUGACCCAUGACAAAACGACGAACCUCACUCAUCGUCGGAUCCACCUGCAUUGUUAAUUGCAGCCACUAGGUGGUCAAUACAUUUGAAUGUAUUGGCAAGCUCACCAGAGUUAUAAAGGACCUACCAAGUAUAUGCAUAAUUUGGCUAUGUGGAGUUUGGCUGUUUGCAUAGAAGCAUCAUUGUUUAGUUUUGAAUUCUAUUGGACACGGGGUAGAAACACCCAUGCUCCUAUUAACCUAGGCACAUUGAGUAGAAACAUCAAUGCUCCUACCCUGUUCAAUCCACUCGUUUUAUUAUGAAGUUUGAAAUGAGUGAGACCUUCCUUACAGCUCCAAUGUCCAGUUGCUCAUAAUUGUCCGUAACCGGGGACACGGCUAAGUACUUAGUUUGACACUCUCGAGAGGUGGUACACUUUACCCACAAGAAAUCGACGUGUUAAUCCCUUGCUGUCCUCAGGGUAGAGUAGCAACGGCAUCGAUUACAGGAAUUUUCAGAACAUAUUCCCCCAAACCACCUGAGGGACGCGUUCCAACCUACACUGCUACAUACCGAUGUCACCUCGGAUCCAGGUUCAUAUUUCUUACAUCCAUCCUGGCAGAGCCCAUAAUACCAUGUGGUUGUACUGGAGCUACUAAACAGGAAACUAGUCCAGUCUCUGGUUAUCCCGGGUGGCAUCCCACAUUGUGACGCAGGCGCUCCCUGAAUCGCACGGGGAGACGACCAUGGACGCUCCCGAAUCACACGGAGAGACAACUCAGCGGGCCCCAUAGAAAUGGACCUAACGUCACGACAUCCGAAAACUCAAAGCAGCCCACCCAGGACGGUUCAUUGAAUUACUUGUUUUGCCAUACACUAGGAAAAUCAUAUUGUAAUUCAAUAGUAUCACAUUGUAAUAAUACCACCCUCGUAUAUUAUCAUAGCAUAGCAUUUUACUACUACGAUGGCAAUUGGUGGUAAGGUCAUGACAAAGGGUAUCCUAUACUACAAGGACAGAUCAUAGCUAGCAUAGAUACAGUAAUAACCCUAACAAUGCAACUAAUAAAAUCUAGUGCAUAAUAAAAUAAUGGGAUGAUGGUCAAAGUGAACUUGCCUUGAUAGUAGUUGGUAUUCAAACACUCUUCGCAAUCACACAGUUCGCUCUCCGAGAAAACUAAACAACACAAACAAUGCAUACAUAAACACACCAUACAAACAAAAGAACAAGUAUGCCAUGAUGCAAUGCAAAACAUGUGACAUGAGUGGGUUUCUUUUAUUUGGGUGAUCUACUGGUCCAAAACAAGGAUGAUUAAGACAAAAGUAUUAGGGUUUUUAAACAAAAGCAAAAGCUACGGUUUAAACACUAAAAUAAGGUUUUAUUUGCAUCUGCAAAACAAUUUAAUUCAAAAUAUUUAUUUAUCUGUCCCAUUGGACAGAGGACAUUAAAACAAAAUUUUGGGCACUGGUUUCAUUAAAAAAGGGCUUCUAAAUAAUUAACUAUGAUUUAAAUGGUAUAAAACACUAUUCUGUAAUUUGAAUGUGAUUCAAACAUUCAAAUUUGAAAUUGGACAGUGCCAAAAGAUUCUACAAAUCCUAAGGAUUCCAAAAAGGUGUGGAUCCUUAAAUUUGGCCAAACAGAUUAAAAGAUAUGAUAAUUUGAAGUUACAGGGGCUUUUCUGUAAAAGUGCCAUUUAAUUAAACCGGGGAAUUAAUUUUUCAAUUUAAUCGGGGACACGUGGCGCUUUCUAAUUGGACGGUACCGGUUCGGGUUUAUAAUUAAAACCGAGCCGUUAGAUCUAACUUAUAAAGAUCGGACGCUCCAUAGUGCAUACCGAUUCGUUUUAUAAGUGAUCUAAUCCUAGCCAUCGAUCUAGAUCGGACGGACGUGGGAGCUCGAGGCUUACCGGUGGCGGGUUAGGUUUCCGGCGACGCGGGGCGCGGCAGCGGGCGGUUCCGGCGAGGCGGGCGUGACGGGGAGGUCACGGGCGAGCGCGUCACGUCGGGGCGGAGGCGCCGGUGGCGGCGGCGGGGCUCGGGCGCUUCGGGGUCGGCGCCUAGGACGAAGGCGAGCGCGGUGGCAUGGCACGAGCUCCGGCGAGGCUUCGGGUGGUGGCGGGGGUGGCGCUGCAGGGCACAAAAAAGAUGGCGGCGCGCGUCAGGAGAUGCGCGAGAGCGAGAGGGAGGAGAUAGGGUAGGCGGGGGUGGCUCUCGACCUUUAGGUUGCCGGUGACGAGCUCGAGACGGCGGUGGACUCCGGCGAAGCUUCGGCGAAAAAUUGCAGCGGCGUGGUCGCGCGAUUGACUGGGGAAGCAAGGGGAAGCAAGGGGAAGAAGAGAGGGGGUCGCGGGGUUUAAAAGGACGCGCUCGGGGCUGCAAAAGGAAGGGCGGGCGAGGAGAUUGGGGCGGUGACGGCGCGCGGCGGCGAAGAAGGAAGGCGGCGCGCGUCGCGGGCGCCUUCCAAACGAGGAAGAAGCCCCUGACAGGUGGGCCCCACCUGUUAGCGGGUGCGGGCACGGCGCGGGGCGCUGCUGGGCUGGGCUGCACGCGCGCGUGCGUGAGGAAUGGGCCGGUUCGGCCCAAAGUGGCCGGGCCGGUCCGUUUCUCCCUUUUUUUUUCUUUUAGCCCUUUUCUUUUUCUGCUUUUCUCAUUUCUUUGAUAACUUUUGAUUUUGAACUCCAAAUUGGUCCAAAUAAAUUCCAGAUAAUUUGUAAAAUCAUGUUUUACCAUGAUACAACUUUUGGGAGUGAUUUCCCAUCAAAAUGAAAUAUAUAAAAAAUACAUUUGCCCUAUAAAUGCCCUUAAGGCUAUAAAGUUAUUUAAAUAAAAUACUUUUUCAACUCCAAAUAAUUAUCCAAAAAUUAUGGGAUAGCUUAUAUAUGCAUUAAACCCCUUUUAUACAUAAAACCUAUUGGUUUGAAAAUCCAAAGCUCAAAUGGGUGUAAACCCUAGGGUUCAAAAUGAAACAAAGUCUUUUAAAGCCUUUUGAGAUUCAAAUUUGAAUUUAAAUAUGCAAUUGUGGCAUCAUGCUCAUGGGUGCAAUGCAUAAGUAAAAGUUUGAAAUUUUGGGAUGUUACAAAGGCAAAGACCCAGACUCGCAUCCAAAGAGACGCUUAUAUUGAUGUUCGUCAUCUUUUGCUCGACCAAAGCAAAAGAGCUCACUUUUAUGAAAAUUAAUCUUCAGUCCCGAAAGUUGUUCGAAAAUACAUAGAAUAAGUUUCAUAGUAACGGCUUUCUCAAAGUCGUGCUCCAUGAAAAUAAUAGUAUCAUUAGCAUAUUGUAAAAUAGACACACCUCCGUCAACCAGAUGAGGGCUGAGACCCCCAACUUGGCCAUCCUCCUUAGCCCUUGCAAUGAGGAUAGCAAGCAUAUCGGCAACAAUAUUAAAAAGGAUCGGGGACAAAGGAUCACCCUGUCUUAAUCCUUUUUUGGUUUGGAAAUAAUGACCAAUAUCAUCAUUAACCCUUAUCCCGACACUUCCCCCUUGCACAAACUGAGCAAUCCACUCGCACCACUUUGGAGCGAAACCUUUCAUACGCAAGACUUGUUGUAAGAAGGGCCAAUUCACUUUAUCAUACGCCUUUUCAAAAUCAAUUUUAAAAAAGACACCAUCCAUUUUCUUCCUUUGAAUUUCAUGGAUAGUUUCAUGAAGCACAACAACACCCUCAAGAAUGUGUCUCCUAGGCAUAAAAGCAGUCUGAGUCGGCCUAACAACCCUAUGGGCAAUCCCAGUAAUGCGAUUAGUACCGACUUUGGUAAAAAAUUUGAAGCUAACAUUAAGGAGGCAUAUAGGUCUAUACUGCUGAAUUUGAACCGCAUCCUCCUUUUUGGGGAGAAGGCAAAUAACACCAAAAUUCAGUCUAAAUAAUGGGAGCUCCCCUGACUGUAACUGGACAAACAUGGCCAUCAAGUCAUCCUUGAGAACCUCCCAAAAACAUUGAUAAAACUCCGCAGGGAACCCAUCCGGUCCCGGAGCUUUAUUAUGCUCCAUCUGAGAGAUGGCAUCAUGCACCUCCUUCUCAGUGAAGGGCGCCACAAGGAAACCAUUCUCCUUCGGAGACAACUGCGCAAUAUCAUGUGUCAUAUCCUCCAUCAAAGAGAAAGAAUUUGGGACCGGUGCCCCAAAGAGUUUCUUAUAAUACUCCGAAAUGUAGGUACUUAAAUUAUGUUGACCAACAAUAGUGCCCUCAUCUUGUUCAAGUUGUACAAUUUUUUUCUUCCUAUGUUUCCCAUUCACGAUGAGGUGAAAAUAUUUAGUAUUAUUACCCCCCUCCUGUACAUGUUUAACCUUAGCCCGUUGAGACCACUUAGUCUCUUCAUCACGUCUAAGUUUGGACACAUGAUCAUUAGCAUCCCUCAAAACGUCCCGUUCAGAUGCACAUAGAGGAGCAGACUCAGCUUUGACGUCCAAGAAAUCAAUGAUCUGCAAAAGCCGGUCUCGCUCUUUUUUAUACAGACCACUCAAUUGCUUGGCCCACCCACGAAGAAAACUACGAAGGUGACGAAUCUUAUUCUGCCAUCUCUCAAUCGGGGUUUUACUUGCAGUGAUCGAAGCCCACUCGGCCGCAACCAUGUCAUAAAACCCAUCCUGUCUAAGCCAAGACAGCUCAAAAGAAAAUUUAGCUUUGUUACCGAGGUGAGCUUGUUCACCUGAGUCAAUGAGUAAGGGGGUAUGAUCUGACCCCGAGCGGGUCAGAGCCUGCACCGACACAAGAGGAAACUUUUGCUCCCACUCAAUACUUGUAAGAACACGAUCAAGUUUCUCGUAUGUUGGAAUUUCUCUACGGCUGGCCCAAGUAUAUUGUCUUUCCGAGAGAACUAAUUCUCUAAGGUCGAGACUCUCAAUAAUAGCAUUAAAAAUAAAAGGCCAUCUAGCAUGGAAAUUUUCAUUGUUUUUCUCUUCCCGUCGACGAAUAAUGUUAAAAUCCCCCCCCCCCCCCCGUUACCAUCAUAGGGAGCGAUUCUGACUCACAAACUCUGACCAACUCAGCCAAGAAGUCGGGCUUAUGUGUUUCCUGAGCGGCACCAUAUACCAAGACCAAGACCCACUCAAACCCAUCAUGUUUAGAUUCUAAGAAGAACGCUCCUAGGUAUUAACUUAUAUCGUUGCCAACAAGGCAGCCAAUGGGCAGCACGUUAAUUUCUUCCACAAGCUAGUCUCAACUCCAUCAAAAUCAUUCCCAGCAACAAAAUCUGUGUAUAAUUGGCACUCUAACCAUCAUAGCUGUCUGCUUAGUUUGCCUCCAUAUAUUUCGACCCAGACUAUAUGUAAGUAAGAUAUUCAUCUCUGCAAAGUCGUCCUAUCUGAAUCAGGUUUCUUCUCUACUUUACCUUGAACUAACCAUCAGUUGUAUCAGAAUUUUCAGUUCAUUUUGCGGUACUUAACAUUUCACCUGACUUGAGUUUUCUGAUUUUUGCAGUUUAUGUUUGGACGAGUAUCAAAUUGCGUGUUACAUUAUGGUUUCACACGUGAAUCUCAAGGUGCUGAUACUGACGAAUUCUCCUAAAGCAGCGUUGGUACUUGCAAAUUAAUGGUUUCAUCGGAGCAGAGCCAACAGCAUCAUAUGGGGAUUUUUUUUUUAUUGGCGACUCUGUAGACUGUGCUAUCUAGUCUACACUCAUGUAUAGGCUGACCGACUGACCUGCUCGCGAGCUGAACAUUGUUUCCAACUCCAUAAUGUCAUGUACACACGACCUGUCCUACUUGAUUAUGAACUAUCACCAAACUUGUUUUUCGUUUAACCUGGUUUUCUUGCAAAUAACACAAUUAUAGACAAAAUGUGAUGGUGUGAGUUCGAAAAACAAAGAUGACUAAAUUUGUUUCCUGUGCAAAUGUAUUAACUGGACAUUGUGCUAGUUGCAUGAAAAGAAAAUGUGAGAAAAACACUACCUUAAAAUGAUAAUACCAGAAAAAGAAAAUUUUCCAUUCUGUACUCUGGUUGCUCGACUUCUUCCUCAUUGUUCUCUUUGACCGACACAUGCGCACAGCACCCUCUCUUUAUUAAUAGAACUGAAAUCCCAACUCUGGUUGGUUCUUCCCCAUUGGCCCCUUCCAAUUCCAGGCUUUCUCCCCUUCUGAUGGCCUGCUCGACAGGAGGCGGAAAUCCAGCCCUUCAAGUCAUGGUCCUAAUUAGUCCUAAAUAGAACUCAUCUGAACAAAACUGUUCUCACAAGGUUUCACAUGGCCUCCUUGUGGGAUCUCGAGGUGAUUACUACUUGAUUAGAUUAAGCCCAGCAACCAAGGUUAGAUCUAUGCAGCGUUCCUAGUUGAAUUUUCUCACAAGAAUCAAUACGAUUGCGCCGGGCAUGCAUUAGUAGACUGUGCUGUUUAGGUUCCCACUUCCCAGCCACUUUCUCUGCUCUUGCUUUGCUCUGGUGUACUACUUGCUGCUGUUUGCCCUGGUAAGCUCCAUGCCACACUGGCAUCAGGAGAUCAAGAGAUAGUUGCAAUUUCUUUCUUUCUAUUCUCUUGAGUUGAUAAACUUAUGCCUGCUUUUCCAGCAGCAUAUCGAUACAUUCUGUUCAUUCCUGUUGGCCGGCAGAAGUUUGUCCUGCAGAGUGUUGAGGCAGGAAACAGUUGGUAUUAACACAUAUCGCCCUCCUUCUGCAGGCUGCAGCACUCAUCAGCUGACCCAUAUUCAGGUAUGUUUUCUCAGUGUUCUUUGUCUCUAAUUCAUGCGGCAGUACCCGUAGGAUUUUUCUAAGGGUGUGCAACUCUCCUAGAUGAUAAGAAGAGACAAAUCUUAACCAUUUAUAUGACCAGGUUUCACAUUUUCUGAUGGAAACUUGAGGAGGUAAACAGAUCAGGCUGCCAAAUAGUCUUACCUGCAUUCUGGUCCCGUUGAUCAUCCUUCAUCGGUGCAGACCCAGCUCAAGUUUCAUGACCGGCGCACUUGUUUGUAUUGUUUGUUGGACUUCUUAUCAAAGAGAUCUUGUCAGGAGAGAACAAUUAAUAUGAACACAUCCCGCCCUUCUUUAGCAGCCUAAUCAAUUUACCUUAUCCAGGUAUUUUUGCUACUUCUGAUUCUUGUAUUCUCUAGUUCUGAUAGCUUUGUUCAGUGAUAGUAAUUCUUGUUUUCACUGAACGAGCUUUCUUUCAAGGGAAUAGAGUACUUCACCUUCUCCUUUUUUUAUUGUGUAGCAGUGAGGCUUUCUUGGUGACUGGCUUAUAAUCUUCUAAUAUCUCUUCUAUACAUCGGUCUAUUCAACCAGUUCUCAUUUCCUUCGGGCAAAAUGGGUUGAUCACUGGAGCGAGAUGAUUACUAUAUAUUGGUUCUUGUAAUCAACCGUUUAUUUCUUUCUGAAAGAUUGGUUUGAAAGGUAUGGUUUGUACUUUAUUCCAGAUCGUGCAUCCUUGUUAGUGAAAUAUCAAUUACAGUUAGUGAUCUAGACGUUUCAUCAUUGCUGCAACUGAGUAUUACUUGGUUUUAGAAAAUAAUCAAAGAAAUAAAAACUCACAAAACCUUGCUUUAGUACUGAAUUUUUAAACGAACGCCCGAAGAUCCAGUUACUUAAGCCAAUGUAGCAAAACAAGUGAAGUACCAACGUUUUUUUUCGAAAAGGGGAAGCGAUCCCCGGCCUCUGCAUCAAUUGAUGCACACAGCCAUUUUUAUUGCAAAGUGAUCAAAAGUCAUACAAUUCACUGAUCAGCGAUAGUCGAUACAAAGAUAAGCCAACGAAAUAGCUCUAACAAGACGAAUAGCUCUAACAAGUGGAGUACCAACGUACUGACUAUCAAACAUGAAUGUGGAUCCUUUUCCUCAAUCAGUUUCGAUGCAGUUGAUUUACUUGAUUCAAGGUACCUUGUGUAUUAGCUCACCAUCCCCAUGGGCUGGUAGUCCCAAUAUAUAUACAUUUAUUUUCAAAAUUUAAACAGCCAAUAGGUGGCAUUAUCUCUGUAUUUCUGUUUCAAGGGUAUGAAUUUAGUCAACACUUUCUACUUUUUGAACCAUCUUAAUACAUGAUAUGCGUUUUUUUUUCAGCCUCCAAGUUUGCGACACUUCUAGAGAAAUUGCUUCGUGGUGGAUCAACCUUGUCAAGCUUGUAUGAUGGCAGCCAUACUAGAUUCUCUUGUUGGGUCAUGUGCCAAAAAAUUGCAAGAAAUCAUUACAGAAGAGGCGGUUCUGAUUCUAGGGGUAAAAGAAGACCUCAGAGAACUGCAGCGGACAAUGACACAAAUACAAUAUUUCCUUAGUGAUGCUGAGCAAAGGAGAACAGAAGAGUCUGCAGUAAACAAUUGGCUUGGUGAGCUGAGAGAUGCUAUGUAUUAUGCUGAUGAUAUUAUUGACUUGGCAAGGUCUGAAGGAUGCAAGCUACUAGCUGAAAGUCCUUCAUCAUCAAGAAAGUCAACUUCAUGUAUUGGCAGGUCGUUUUUCACUUGCAUUCCUAAUGUUCAGAAGCGUCACAAGAUUGCCGUUCAAAUCAGAGACUUCAAUGCUGAGCUUCAGAAGAUUUCAGAGCUCGGCGAAAGAUAUUUAAAGCUUCAGAAUAUGCAGCCUAAAGCAGAAGUUCCGACAGUGAAGCAAAUGGCAACUAGCCACCUCGUGGAGCCUAAUCUUGUGGGAAAGGAAACAUUACAUGCUUGCAGAAGAUUGGUUGAACUGGUGCUUGCACACAAGGAAAAUAAGGCCUAUAAGCUUGGUAUUGUUGGAACAGGAGGGGUUGGAAAGACAACACUAGCUCAGAAAAUAUAUAAUGACCAAAAGAUAAAAGGACAGUUCGGCAACCAAGUAUGGAUCUGUGUUUCUCAGAAUUACUCUGAAGCUGCUCUUUUGAAGGAAAUUCUUCGAAAUUUCGGGGUACACCAUGAGCAAAAUGAAACUGUGGGAGAGCUCAGCAGCAAGCUUGCAACGGCCAUUGCAGAUAAAAGUUUCUUCAUUGUGUUGGAUGAUGUUUGGGUGCCUGAGGUUUGGACCAAUUUACUGAGAAUUCCAUUACAUGCUGCUGCAACUGGAGUCAUUCUUGUAACAACUCGACAUGAUACAGUGGCACAUGUGAUUGGAGUGGAAGAUCUGCAUCGAGUUGAUUUGAUGCCAGCAGAUGUUGGAUGGGAGUUGCUUUGGAAGAGUAUGAACAUUAGUGAAGUAAAAGAUGUGCAACACCUGCAGGAAAUAGGGAUGGAUAUUGUUCGUAAAUGUGGUGGACUUCCUCUCGCAAUCAAGGUUGCUGCUCGUGUUCUAUCAACUGAAGACAAAACUGAGAAUGAGUGGAGAAAAUUUAUCAAUAGAAGCGCUUGGUCUGUUGGCACUCUUCCUACUGAGCUCAGAGGUGCUUUGUACAUGAGUUAUGAUGACCUCCCACGUCAUCUAAAGCAGUGUUUCCUUAAUUGUGGUACGUAUCCCGAAGAUUGGGUCAUGCAGCGUGAUUACAUUGCCAUGUCAUGGGUUGCUGAAGGAUUUAUACUGGAGCAAAAAGGCCAACUACUAGAAGACACAGCAAACGAGUACUACUAUGAGCUUAUCCAUCGGAAUCUCAUCCAACCAGAUGGUUCAACUUUUGACCUUGCAAAAUGCAAAAUGCAUGACCUCUUAAGGCAGCUUGCUUGUUAUUUAUCAAGAGAAGAGAGUUUUGUUGGAGACCCUGAAUCAUUAGGGGCUAUAAAUAUGUCAAAACUGCGACGCGUUACUGUUGUCACUGAGAAAGAUAUUUUGGUGUUACCUAGCAUGGUUAAGGGUGAACUUAAGGUGCGGGCUUUCCAAACUGAUCAGAAGGCAUGGAGUGUUGAGGAUACAUUUUUCAAGAAGAUUCCAUCUAUUCGUGUUUUGAAUCUGAGUGACUCACUUAUAGAAAGAAUCCCAGAUUAUAUAGGAAAUUUGAUCCACUUGCGUCUACUUGAUCUCGAUGGUACAAACAUAUAUUUUCUGCCAGAGUCAGUAGGCUCUCUCAUGAACCUCCAAGUACUAAAUUUGUCAAGAUGCAAAGCUCUGAACAGCCUUCCUUUGGCAAUCACUCAACUGUGCACUUUAAGGCGCCUUGGUCUGCGUGGUACACCGAUUAAUCAAGUACCAAAAGAGAUAGGCAGAUUGGAAUACCUCAAUGAUUUAGAAGGAUUUCCCGUCGGUGGUGGCAGUGAUAUUGGUAAAACACAAGAUGGAUGGAAGUUGGAAGAGUUGGGGCAUCUGUUGCAGCUAAGGAGGCUUCAGGUCAUCAAAUUGCAAAGAGCAGAUCCUUGUGCUACAGAUUCAUUGCUAGCAGACAAAAAAUAUCUGAAACUUUUGAGUCUAUGCUGCACGAAACAUCCAAUUGAACCUUACUCAGGAGAAGAUGUUGGCAAUAUUGAGAAGAUCUUUGAGCAACUUAUCCCUCCACACAACCUGGAAGAUCUAGUUAUUGCUGGUUUGUUUGGCCGAAAGUUUCCCACCUGGCUUGGUACAACCCAUUUGGUCUCAGUCAAAUACUUGAAGCUCAUAGACUGCAAGUCCUGUGUGCAUCUUCCCCCACUCUGUCAACUAUCAAACCUAAAAUACCUAAGAAUUGAUGGAGCAGCAGCAGUUAGCAAGAUUGGGCCCGAAUUCGUGGGCUGCAGGGAGGGAAAUCCCAGAUCCACGGUGGCAGUUGCUUUCCCCAAGCUUGAAACGUUGAUCAUCAAGAAUAUGCCCAACUGGGAGGAGUGGUCCUUUGUUGAAGAAGGAGAUGCAGCGGCAGCAUCUAUGGAAGGGGAAGAUGACGGAUCUGCUGAGAUUCGAAAAGGGGAAGCCCCGUCUCCAAGGUUGCAGGUGCUGCCACGCUUGAAGAGGUUGGAACUUGUAGACUGCCCCAAGCUGAGAGCUCUCCCAUGGCAGCUUGGACAGGAGGCCACCUGCUUGGAAGGUCUCGGAUUGAGAGGAGCAAGCAGCUUGAAGGUGGUGGAGGACCUCCCGUUCCUCUCUGAUAUGCUUUCAAUCGCGGGAUGUGACGACCUAGAGAAGGUCUCAAACCUUCCGCAAGUGAGAGACCUACGUGUGCAACUUUGUCCAAACCUGAGACUUGUUGAGGGGUUAGGUAGUUUGCAGCAGGUGUUGUUGACUAAUGAUAUGCGUGAGAUCUCCUCACUGUGGUUGCCCGGGCUUCAGCAGCAGUGCAUGCAACAUCACGGUGAAGACUUGGGUAUCUACCCAUGGACAUGGUGAUUACACGUAGCUGCCUGAUUACAUGGUCACAAAGAUGUGAGGUAAAACCAUUAACCAUUUCUAUUUACAUUUUGGUACACACCUUAUCUACCUCUGUUUUUUUCGGAACUUGCUAGCUAGCUAUGAUUCCUUCAUGUAUAUGCUGGACAAUCAUGUCUGAGUUCUGAAAUCUCACACACAUUGAUACGGUGGUUUCAUUAGUUGAAAUUAAUGUGUUGAAGGGUGCUAUAAAAUUGAACACGCCUGUUACUGCUAUUUUUCUGGCAAAAUUCUACUGGAUGUAUAUUUCAACUAGGACAUAUGUUAAAUAUGUACGGAUCUCGCUUCUUUUGGUGCUGAGUUGUCAUGUACUCUUAUGCUCUCCCACGGCAGCUUGGACAUGAGGCCACCAGCUUGGAACUGCUCGGAUUGAGAGGAGCAAGCAGCUUGAAGGUGGUGGAGGACCUCCCGUUCCUCUCUGAGAGGCUUUUAAUCGAGGGAUGUGAUGACUUAGAGAGGGUCUCAAAUCUUCCUCAAGUGAGAGAGCUACGUGUAGACGAUUGUCCAAAGCUAAGGUGUGUUGAGGGGCUAGGAAACUUGCGGCAGCUGUGGUUAGAUGAGGAUAUGCAAGAGAUCUCUGAGCUCUGGGUCUCCGGGCUGCAACAGAAGUGCCAAAGGCUUCACGAUGAAGACCUGGAUGUGUACGACUGGGCUUGAUUAUCAGCCUUGCUGUAUGCAAUCUGAAGACUGAGGUAAUGCCCAAUUACCCAUUCAAUACCUAGUUUGAUGCCUUAUCUAGUUUGAUUCACGUUUGUGCUCUUCUUUGCCACAUCGUAUGGUAUGUCUCUAGUACUAGUUCAUGUUAGGGUCUCAAGAAUCUUCAAAGCAAUAUUUAGUAGUACUACUUUUAUGUUUCUAAGCAAUAUUUAAUUUUUUUUCUCUCUCAGUUACCUGAUCGCAGUAUUGUACUCUUUUGGGUUCAGAGUUGCUGUCACGCCCAGCUUACAUGGCAGGGGCUGUGCUUUUAUACAUUCCGAAAAGAGCUCUAGUAGAUGCUUUCCAAUUAGAUGGGAGCAAAGAUUGCGUGCUUAAAUAAACAUAUAUCAGUGACACUAGUUUAGCUCUUUGUUAGAUAAUACAAUUGCAUUCAAAAUAUAUUAUAUAUAAGUGCCCUGGUGCAUUUUUUGUUAAAAAGACUACUAGGUCUGAUUCUUUUUCUUUUAAAUAUGUUUAUACAAUCGACGGUGUUAGUGUUACUAACCGAUAUUUUAUCGAUCCUCCAACGGUGGUGAUAUGUUAACCUCGAUGCCAUUUACUGUGAUAAAUAUAUGCAUGUGACAUAGUUGUGUUGAGCAUGUUUAUCUCACCUGGCAUAUGUCGAAUAGGUAGCACCUCUCUUGUGUUGGACUUUGAAUCUUUAUGUAGUCUUACAUGGUGCAUCUACUUGCAUUCCUUUCAUCAUCUACGUGAUCAUGCUUAUUUCGUGUGCUUGUUUAUUUUGUAGGCUAUUUAGUCUGAAGAGGUGUUGAACUUUCUGUUGAUAAUUGAAAUAGGCGCGGCAAGUGGUAUCUUUGAGAGAAAAUACAAAAAAUAGUAUAGGUAAAAAAUCCGAAGAAACGAUCAAACCAAAAUGGCAAAAAAAAGUGAAAACAAAGAUCCAAAAAAAAUUGAAAACAAAAAUGGCAAAAAAAAAGAGAGAAAAUAAAAAUCCAAAAAAGUUUCUUUAUUUGUCUUGUAAUUUACUUUUCAGCAAACGUGUCUAUGCGUGUGUUUGUGUUUUGGUAGAGUAGGCAACUCCGUCUAUGUGAGGAACUGUGGACAAAUGUUAUAAUUAUGUCACAUAGCCGGUUCCAAACCCGGGGAAAGGAGGAGGACCAAAUCAUGUUGCAGCUUCUUCGUAUCAACAAAUGUAGAACUUGUGUUGCAUAGCCGGUUUGAAACUCAUCACAUGAUUCUUGUAUGCCGUUUACACAUGUAUACAGAUGGAAUGUACUGAUGUCAGCUCGGAAGACCAUCAAGAAGCUAAUCACAAGGAUUUACGCAAUUAUGCCUAUAUAGAGUUUUUUUACGGUACCUUGGUAAGGUACUCCAAUUAUCUAGUUGAGAGUACCAAUUAAAUCUGGCCAUUCAUUAGGGGCAAAUUAGACAUUUUCUCACCACUACAGAAUCUUUAGAUUCCUAACUGAGUUUGAAUCCCUAAUCAAUUUGAUCGCCGCCGCCGAGGAGCAGCUCCUCACCUAGCAUCGGCCAAUCGGACUAUCUUAUCAACUGCAAUUGUCUCGCGAAUACUAAUGAUCCUCCCGAUCCCAGGUGCUCGCCCGUCUUUGACCGGCAAACGUCCCUGGCGCGCUGCAGUAGUCACUCAAGAUCUGAAGCAAGAACGCUACAAGUUUGUUGAUUGAUUCAUGUUGAUCUCUUCUUAAUCUUAACACAAGAAAGAAAAUAUCAUCUGGUGAUCUCUUUUGGUUUCACUGUAUGAUGCUUGGCUUCGGUAGAUUAAGAUGCAUGUAUUGUAAAUUUCAAGAAAGUCCAAUACUCAUCCAUUAACGGAGAAAGAAGAACUUCAUAUAUAAGAGGAAGAACAGGUCGAAACAAAUAAAACAUCCAGAGAGGGCAAGAGGCAGAUGAAUCAUCGUUUCAUAUAAACAAACAACAGUUGCGUAGGAGGCCGGAAGGGCCUCAAUUGAAUCUAGUUGAAACGGCAAACGUCCUUCCGGUUAUGCCGCUAAUACAAACAAUUACAGUUUUACCCUUUGAGAUUUGGUACUCCCUCAUAUUUAUCGGUGGCACUCCCUAGUUGUUACCCUGGAGUACAAGUAAUUUGCAGCCCUUGGAUGGGAUGAAAUGGAUGGUCCAUAUUAAUAUAAGGGUACUGUAAAAGAGCUCCCUAUAUAUCAUCCGGUUUUGAUUAGAGGAAUUCGGUACAAAUUUAUGAAAUACGUAGCAUGUUUGUUUGUUUUCUCCGUGGGCAGGUUAUCUGUUUGUUUGUUUCAUGGUAGGAAAACUGAAUGCGAAGCCCAGGGCCAGUAGCAUACGAGAAAUGAACCCAAACAAACUGCUGCUGCUUCCUGUUGCUUCACUUGAUCUUCUUCCUUCUUCACCGCUUUCUCUGGCCGCUGCCCUUGCCGGCAUCAAUGGAGCUCCUGCUGGUUUCGAUUCCCUUUCGAUUCGAUGCAUCCCCUGCCGCUCUGUUCUGUGUAUGUAAUUACGCAUAUUUUUCCUUCUCCAGCACAAACGACUAUAUAUCUACUACCUCCAUUUCAUAAUUCUUGUCGAAAUCUUACAUGUAUCUAGACACUUUUUAGAAAUAGAUACAUCCAUUUUUAGACAAAUUUGAGACAAGAAUUAUGAAACGGAGGGAGUAGCAUUUACUGACCGUCGAUUUUUUUCAGAGGGUAGUUCACUGGCAAAUAGCAAUGCACAGCAACUGCCAGUAAAUGUCUCCAAUCACCCUCUGACGCUUGUAAAUGUCUCACAUCUUGUCUAGAUAGUGUUGAUCGUGCACCUGAAACGUUUAAAUUAACCUGCUCCCUCCGUCCAACAAAGAAUGUCUCAAUUUUGACUAAAUUUAAAUGCAUUUAUACACUAAGUCAUGUCUAGAUACAUCCAAAUUCUUUCAAACUUGAGACAUCUUUUGUUAGACGGAGGGAUUACUUAUUUGAGAAAGAGCUCGGGUAGAGAUAACCAUUUAGAUGGCAGUGGAUUGAAGGCUGAACUUUGUGCUCUGCAGUUGCCUAGCUAGGUUCAGUGGAUAAUCUCUAUCCUUUUCAAUUUCGAAGAACCUGGUUCUUCUCUCUGCAUAUGAUUUGAUCUCGCUUUUCAGUUACUUUUGUCUGUUUUUUUUAACGAAAACUGUAGGAGUAUAUAGGUAGACCUAUAUGUAGUGUCAAUGUGGAAGAGGAGAGGUCAAUUCGUUUGUUGAUAUAGUAACAGAAGCUCGUUCCAUCGAGUUGGGGCCACGCUGGCCUGAAUUUUGCAGUUGAUGCCGGAACCACUUGCAUGCAGGCCGACGUGGAUGCCACCUCGUUAUAUGACCGCAUUUUGUUGUUUCCCUUUUUUUUUCUUUUUGAGGGGAGUUGUUUCCCUUUCUUGAGAGGCGGGAAACCACUGUGGGGAAUGACUUUUGAAACAAAGGGCUGACGGCCCACGGGCCUACAAUAUACAACAACGGGCCCGCCCAGUCCUUGCUUUAUAAGGCCCAAAUCAGCCUCCCUUCUCUGCUCCACUCCAUCCUUCUUCGUCUUCCCCACUCUGCCGCUGCGGCAGGCGCAUCAAUGGACCCAACCCAAGCUUCCCGUGCGAACCCUGCAGCCUCCACCGGUUUCGAUUCCCUUUGAAUUCGCAGCAACCCCAUUCAUUCAGCCACUCACAGGAUCGAGGGAGCCACACCCACACCUCGAUGGGGAACUCCAAUCCGUUCCAGCCCAGUCCAGGGUUGGGUUGGGGGUCAGAAUUAUUUAACGGGCGAUUAAUCUCUUCGUGUUUCGUGGUAAGACCCCAUAAGCCUAUUUGGCUCUUCUUACUUGACCUGAUCUGUAAAAACGCUACUUUUGAGUGUAUGGCCAGCCCUAGUGUCUAAUGGAUAGCAGCCAGCAUUGGAAAAGCAGACAUGUGAGAUACUAGUAUACUACAGACAAACAGUUGUCAAACAGGGCGUUUGUUUUUGCGAAUAGCUUUUAACUCUUUCUCAACCAAUCGAUUGUUACAAUCAUCAGAUGAACAAGAGGCACUAAAGUACAAGUCUCAUGGACUGAUUUUCAGAGGAGAGGCUAGAUUUGGACAGCAAUAGGCCAAUAGGUAGAGCACAAAAUUGACUAGUUCUGAAUUUGCAACUUGCAUAAACAAGGGCCGGCAGCAUUAGUUAUGGAACUCUCGAGGCGAAGAGAGACCACGCUCCAUAUACCAUUUUACAAAGCAGCCUAUCAUCCUGAUGAAUUAGUUAAUGUUCCGAGCACUGCAUAUACCAUUUUACAAAGCAGCCUUGGUGAUCUAUGGUUGAACUGGCACCAUUGUUGAUGGGUGAUCAAUGAAGAGCUUCAGUACGAAUUCUCUCCGGUGAUUGGUCAGCUAAUGACCUGGUUGAUCAUGGAAAGUACUUUGUUGAUUGGUGAGCACUAUAUAUACCAAUUCAUUACACAGAGAAGGUAUUUUGAUUAUGCUUCAUAUCUCGUACUAAUGAUCGAGUUGAUCAGCAGAGGCUGACUACUGCUAUUGGAUGAUUUGACGGCCUUGUUUGGAGGGAUGGAUGUCUUUCAAGAAGGUCAACCCUGUUUGCCAUUAAGAAUUCUGAAAGCUUUCCAGUUCUUAUGUUCAGGUGCUGAUCAUGAAAGUAAAUCACUCUAAGAUGAUAAGAGAUUAUAGUUCGUGAUGCCCUUCUUCAAAGAAAAAAAACAUUGGUGGUUCCUACGGCAAAAUGAGCACUCUUUCUUGUAUUGCCUCAAAUGAAUAACAUCAUGGAUCACUCAAGUGCUAACAUUACACUGAACAUUAUGUCUAACUGUACUAAAUACAGUUCGAUGUUCUUAAGUUCAUUGAGUGUAUUUUCAUUUCACCAUCUUAUCAGUUCUUUUAAUUACUAUUGUCCUCUGUUUGCAACUUAUCGUAUAUUCGGUAGUUUGAGCUUACAUACAAUAGUAAUUUACUGCUUGUUGGUAGCUUCUGUACGAGUACAGAGUCGAACAUGCAGUUUUAUAUCUUCCAAAUCCAUUGGGAGUAUAAUUUACCAUUGCAAAGUUUGUUCACCUUUCAGAUCGAUCAAGUUCUUGAUCAUCGUGAAUUGACAGCACACAAGGAGUUGCCUAGUAUUCCAAGGUACAUCUGAUGGCAAACAUAUUAUUUCCUUUUGUUGGGUCAUGCAUAAAAAAGAUUCAAGAAAUUGCUACUGAGGAGUGGUGCUAAUACUGGGAGUCAAAGAAGAGCUUACAGAACUACAACGAAGAAUGAAGCAAAUACAAUGUUUUAUUUGUGAUGCUGGGCAGAGAAGCUUACAAGAGUCAGCAGUUAGCAAUUGGCUCGGUGAUUUGAGAGAUGCCAUGUAUGAUGCUGACAAUAUUAUUGAUUUGGCAAGGUUUAAAGGAAGCAAGCCACUUGUAGACCAUCCUUCAUCCUCAAGAAAAUCAACUUCUUGCAAUGGCUUCUCACCCUUAUCUUGCUUUCAUAAUAUCCAGACUCGUCACGAGAUUGCCGUCCAAAUUAGAAGCCUCAACAAAAGGAUAGAGAAGAGUUCCAAGGAUCACAUUUUGUUUAACACUUCAUAACACAACACCAAAUGGAGAAGUCUCUGUACCAAAUUGGAGAAAAGUAUCACACCUUGUUGAACCCAAUCUUGUGGGGAAGGCGAUCAUACAUUCUAGUAAGAAAUUGGUGGAGUUGGUGCUUGCACAUAAGGGAAUUAAGGAUUAUAAGUUGGCUAUUGUUGGGACUGGAGGAGUUGGUAAGACAACACUAGCCCAGAAAAUAUACACUAGCCCAGAAAAUAUACAGUGACCAAAAAAUGAAAGGAAACUUCAAGAAACAUGCCUGGAUUUGUGUUUCUCAAAAGUACAAUGAAGCUAAUAUUCUGAAGGAGAUUCUUCGAAAUUUUGGAGUGCAUGAAGAGCAAGGUGAAACCAUACCAGAGCUUCAGAGCAAAAUUGCAGAAACAAUUGAAGGCAAUAGUUUCUUUCUUGUUCUAGAUGAUGUGUGGCAGUCCAAUGUAUGGACCAAUCUACUAAGAACUUCAUUACACGCAGCAACUGCAGGAGUAAUUUUGGCGACCACACGAGAUGAUACAGUUGCAAUGAAAAUAGGUGCUCAACAUACCCAUCGAGUCGAUCUCAUGUCCGUCGAGGUGGGUUGGGAGCUCCUUUGGAAGAGCAUGGGUAUUGACCAAGGGGAAGAAGUGCAGAAUCUAAGGAACACAGGGAUUGAGAUUAUUCAUAAAUGUGGUUACCUUCCUCUUGCAAUAAAGGUCCUUGCUAGUGUUUUGGCAAGCAAAGAUCAAACAGAGAAUGAAUGGAAAAAGAUUCUGAGCAAAAGUUUUGCUAUUUCCCAGAGCAAACUCCCCGAUGAAAUAGAAAGGUCUUUGUAUGUAAGCUACAAUGAGCUACCACAUCAUCUGAAGCAGUGUUUCCUUUAUUGUGCUCUGUAGCCUGAAGAUUCUACCAUCGUGCGUGAUGAUAUUGUCAGAUUAUGGGUCGCUGAAGGCUUUGUAGAGGAGCAACCAGGACAACUGAGAGAAGAAACAGCAGAACAGUACUACUAUGAACUAAUCCACCGGAAUCUCCUCCAACCAGAUGGUUCAACGUUUGACCAUACUAAGUGCAAAAUGCAUGACCACUUAAGGCAGCUUGCUUGUUAUUUAUCGAGAGAAGAAUGUUUUGUAGGUGAUACUGAAUUAAUAGGCGGUCAAAGAAUGUCUAAACUGCAGCGCCUUUCAGUAGUCACCAACAAGGAUAUGUUUGUGAUCCCUAUAGUGGACAGGGGAAAUCACAAAAUGAGAACUUUGAGAAUUCCCUAUGGGGUCUCCCAAGGAGUUGAUCAUUCAAUUUUCAAGAAGCUUUUACACCUUCGUGUUUUGGAACUUGCUGGUUCAUCCAUACAAACCAUCCCAGAUUGCAUUGCAAAUUUAAACCUUCUACGACUUCUUGAUCUCAAUGGUACAAAUAUACUUGUCUUCCAGAGUCCAUUGGCUAUCUCAUGAACCUUCAGAUACUGAACUUGCAAAGGUGCAAAGGUUUGCACAACCUUCCUCUGGCGAUCACUAAAUUAAUUAAUUUAAGGCGCCUUGGUAUGGAUUAUACACCCAUAAAUCAGGUUCCAAAAGGUAUUGGUAAAUUAGUGUCCUUCAACGAUUUGGAAUGAUUUCCUAUUGGUGGUGAAACUGAUAGUCCUGAAACACAAGACGGAUGGAAUUUGGAAGAAUUGAGGCAUCUCUCAAAGUAAGGCGUCUUGACCUGAUCAAAUUGGAAAGAGCAACUCCUUGCUGUAUAGACUCAUUGCUAAAAGACAAAAAGCAUCUCAAAGAUUUGAAUCUACGCUGUACAAAACGUAGGGAUGGAGCUUAUUCAGAAAAAGGUGUUAGCAAAAUUGAGAUGAUCUUGGAGCAGUUAAUCCCUCCACACAACCUGGAAGAUCUAACUAUUGUUGAUUUCUUUGGUCGAAGGCUUCCCAACUGCCUUGGUACCACCCAUUUGGUUUCUGUCAAAUACUUGAUCCUCAUAGGCUGCAAUUCCUGCGUGCAUCUUCCCCCACUCGGGCAACUACCUAACCUCAAAUACCUAAGAAUUAAUGGAGCAGCAGCAGUUACCUAGAUUGGACCCAAAUUUAUGGGCUGCAGGGAGCCUAAUCCCAGAUCCACGGAGGCAGUUGCUUUCCCCAACCUUGAAUCAUUGGUCAUGAGGGAUAUGCCCAAAUGGGAGGAGUGGUCCUUUGUUGAAGAAGGAGAUGCAGUGGCAGCAGCUAUGGAAGGGGAAGAGGAUGGAUCUGCUGAGAUUCGAAAAGGGGAAGCCCUGUCUCCAAGGUUGCAGGUGCUGCCAUGCUUGAAGGAGUUGGCACUUGUAGGCUGCCCCAAGUUGAGAGCUCUCCCACGACAGCUUGGGCAAUAGGCCACCAACUUGGAACAGCUCCGAUUGAUUGGAGCAAGCAGCUUGAAGGUGGUGGAGGACCUCCCGUUUCUCUCAGAGAACCUUGGGAUCGUGAGUUGUAAGGGUGUGGAGAGGGUCUCGAACAUCAAUCAAUUGAAAGAUCUGCGUCUGAGUCGUUGCCCAAAGUUGAUGUGUGUUGAGGGAUUGGGUAGUUUGCAGCAGCUGUGGUUGGAUGAGAGUAUGCAAGACAUCUCUUUGAUGUGGGUACCAGGGCUUCAAGAGGAGCAGCAAAAGUUUCACGGCGAAGAUCUGGAUAUCUAUACAUGGCCUAGAGGUUGAGAUAAUAACUGUUUAGAUGGCACGCUGGUACAAGGUAUGGAUACUGAAUGCUGGUUGGCAUUUCGUUUUGUGUAGUAUUAUUAAUUGUCCGCUCCAAUAUUCAUUUCCUUAUGUGUGAAUUAUGCCUGUUUUCUUUACCGUUCAUUUCCUUGAAGUGUCUGUUAAUUCUCUCACUGAACAUGGUUUAUGUACUGUAACCUACUUAUUAUAUUUAAAUAUGCACCUGCACUCACUCCAGUUUCUAUUCUAAGUUUCUAACUAAUACUACUAAUAUUGUGUUGUGAUGAACUUGUUAGAAAUAAUUUUUUUCAGUUUUCAUGGCGUCCGUCUCAGACUGUAACAGAACUGCAACAUUAACACUCUACUGCAGUUUUCCAAACUUCUAUAUGUUUGUAAUUAUGUUUGAGAAAACAUUUGUAAUCAUGCUUAUACAGUGAUUUGUAUUUUUGCAAGUUGCUAAUCGUGGGGGCUUGGGGAAUUGCAAUUUGGUGAUUUACAAAGGGUGCUAAAAACGUAGUGAUAUAAUUGAGAAAAAGAUGAAAGAAAACUCCAAAAAAAUAGGAAAAUAAAAUUCAAAAAAAGGAGGAAAAACAAAAAACAAAAAAAAGAAAAGAAAAUUCCAAAAAUGAAGUUACCUUUAUGCAUCGUAGUUUGUUUUAUUUUUCUUUAGUAGGGUAGGUAACUCCGCCUAUGUCACAACAGGUAUAGGAUACUUCUUCCCUAAAAGGGAAUUGUAGUACUGGUUGUGUUGCAUAGCCGGUUCCAAGCCUGGGAAAAGGAGGAGGACCAACCAUGUACUCACUCCGUGUCAUAUUAAGUGACUUUCUAUUACAUCUAUCUAGACGUUUUUUAAGCAUAGGUACAUGUAUAUUUGGGAAAUUUGAGUCACUUAAUGUGGGACGGAGGGAGUAACACCGUGUGAAGUUGAUGAAACCACUAAACGUGUUUUUUACAGAUGUUCCAAUGGCCUUAUGCCUGGAAUUGUUUAAUUUGCUUGUGAAGGCACAUUUUAAUCAGCUGUUUGGUCACGGUGUUUACCAAACCAUGUUCUGUUUAUUCAGUAGACAGAGAGCUGUACUCGUAUUGUUUUUUGUGGAAGACUCAGUUGGGCAAUAUGCAUGCCUAUGGAGCAAUUUUACGGUUUGUCGAUAUGGCAGGAAGGAAUUAUCAUAUCCUGUUCCUGGCCUGUAGUCAGUCUUCUCGGUGAGCCCGAGCUGAAUUCGAGGUGGAGACUGCUAGCCGGCUCAAUGAGUACAUGAUGUGAACGUUUCUGAUUGUAGUCAGUCUUGUUUCUGAAGAGGGCGUUUGAGGACAUGAUGUGGUUUUAUUUUAGCUGCUAUUUGACGAGAGGGUGUCCUUUUUCUCUUCUUUUUUGUCAUGAACUCAUAAUACCUGUCUAGUUUGUUUGUGCCUUUCAUGCUCUGCUCUAUUGCACUCACUUAUGAAGUUAUGGUUAACCCCUUGAGUGCAUAUCUCCCAUUCUUUAAUUCCAUUAGAGCAGUCAAACUAUUUUAAGGCUCAAUCAAAUUAUUUCCAUAAGUGCAGUCAAAUAAGGUUGAAUCAAAUCAUUUCCAUUAGUGCUAACGUCGCUCAGAAGAGCUUGAGUGGAUACCCGUUUAGAUGACUCUGGACUGAAGCUCAAGCUGUGCUUUUGCUGUAUGUGGCUAUGGACAACUAAGCUUGUAAGUUGUAAUAGCCGUUCAACUAGUUGGUACGCGGCCAUGACCAAACCUCAUGUUGUUGCCUAGGUUCAGUGAAUUAUAUCUGUUUUUGAAUUUUGAGUUCAUGUAGUUUUGAACCUGGUUCUAUGCACACAUGAUUUGGUCAGAUAUUUUCAAAUUACUUUAUAUAUGUGAUCAUCCUACGAGAUACCAAGGCCCAGUAGAAAGCCCAAAAUCUAAAUUUAACAUUAUCUGAGUAACGUUUAAGGUCCUAACAAAGGCUCCUCCAUGCCAAAAUAUCCAUGGCUGAGUGGUGUAUAGGCCCAGCCCAUGCGUACAAUGCAAAGCCCAACACAAGCUUCUUUCUUCUUCCCCACUUCCGUCUUCUCCUCUUCCGGUCGAACCCCUUCUGUCCGUCUCUGAGUCUGAGAGAUGAGCAGGAAGGGGGAAAUAGAAGAAGAUCCAUUCCAGCAGGGUUCGAGAUCGGCCAUCAUCUCCAUGAUUUUGCUUUUGAAUAAUAUAUAUUACAAACUCGACAACAAUUCGUAGGAAAAAAUACAACUAAAUAUAUUCAUUGGUAGCACCGAUUACAAUAGCUAGGCAACAGCUUGCUUGGACUAAUCGCCGCUGGUUUAUAUUUUUCAAGUGUUAAGCAGGCCUUGAUCUGAUGAAAGUGGGAGCCUGGGGACCACAUGAGCUUUGCAUAUUCCUCUAAUCCUAAUGGCAGACCAAUCUUGGUCACAGCAACAGCUUGGGGUCUCAGGAUGCACACUGCCUAGCUUGUGGAAUCUCGAGGUAAAUUGUACUGUACUAAAUUAGAUAAUUAGAUUCGGCAGCCAAGCCUAGGAAUUGUUAAUCUAUUCACUGGAUGAACGCUCCUAGGUAACUUACAUCGUUGCCAAUAAGGCAGCCAAUGGGUUUCUUCCACAAGCUAGUCUCAACACCAUCAAAAUCAUUCCAGCAACAAAAUCUGUGUAUAAUUGGCACUCUAACCAUCAUAGCCGUCUGCUUAAUUUGCCUCCAUAUAUUUCGAACCAGACUAUAUGUAAGUAAGAUAUUCAUCUCUGCAAAGCCAUCCUAUCUGAAUCAGGUUUCUUCUCUACUUUACCUUGAACUAACCAUCAGUUGUAUCAGAAUGGCUCCUUCGUGGAUUACCUAUUUACCUUUUUAAGGAGUAAAAAUAAAAACUCGGGCUAUUCUUAAGCUAUAAUAUUGGUGCCGUGGUGCAUGACUUGGAACUAGCUAGAGAGAUUAAAUCCAUUGGCCAGCCAGCGCACAUGAAGUCCAAGUGCUGGAGCCUGCCCUGGAGUGCAUCUUAUCAGAAUGGCAACAGGUACCAAAGUCUGAGGCCAUUAAACUAGCAAAGUCUGUCUCCGUUGGCAGGUUCUUUGUCAUGGCGGGAAAACUAACGAAGGAACCAAAUAUCCAUGGCGGGAAUAAGCCCAACAGAAAGCCUAACGAGAAGCCCAUGUAGCCUACGAGAUACCAAGGCCCAGUAGAAAGCCCAAAAUCUAAAUUUGACAAUGUCUGAGUAGCGUUUAAGGUCCUAACAAAGGCUCCUCCAUACCAAAAUAUCCAUGGCUGAGUGGUGUAUAGGGCCAGCCCAUGCGUACAAUGCAAAGCCCAACACAAGCUUCUUUCUUCUUCCCCACUCCCGUCUUCUCCUCUUCCAGUCCAGCGAACGCGCUCUCCGCCGACGGCCGGCCGCCGCUGCAUCAAUGGAGCCAAAAAUUUCCUCAUCUUCCGCUAGUUCUUAGUCGUCCCCCCUCGAACCUCUUCAGUCCGUCUCUGAGUCUGAGAGAUGACCAUGAAGGGAAAAAAUAGAAGAAGAUCCAUUCCAGGGUUCGAGAUCGGCCAUCAUCUCCAUGUGAGCUUUGUUCUUUACCAUUGAUAGUGCUGGCUUAAUUAGCGUGUCCGCUUCUUGCUUAAUUAGCAGUAGUUGGAAGCUUUAUCCGGAAAAUCUGGUCUGAACAGAAGUCGCAUGAACUUGCGGAAUCUCGAGGUGAAUACUAAUACGGAGUACUCCCUCGGAUCCGUAUUAAUUGUCUCAAAUUUGCCCAAAUAUAGAUCCAUCUAUGCCUAAAAAGCGUCUAGAUACAUGUAAUAUUUUGACAACUAAUAUGGAUCGGAGGGGCAGUAGAUUAAAGAUUAAACCCCACGACUGUGCUUAGGACUACUAAAUCUAUUCAUCAAUGGGUAGCACCCACCGACGCCAAAAGUUUCACUUUGAUAUCAUGAAAGUGGGAAGAAGAGGACCGUGCCACUUGCAUGGACAACAUACUCCUACUUAAUUAGUAUUCCAUGGACCCCUCUUCAGCAGUAGUUGCUUAAAAUUAUUUUGUAUCUGGAAUCUGGACUGCAUGCCCAUCACUAGAGGAUAAGUCUGAGCAGAAACGACUGCACAUUUGUUAGGAAUUUAGCGACUAAAUGACCUUCUGGUUUAAUUAGGGUACUCAAAGGAAACUGCAGGCUUUGAUGUGAUGGGUAUGGAUAUAAUUGCACUGGUCUGAACAAAGCUCACAUGCCCUCUCUGUGGAAUCUCGAGGAAAAUACUAGUAGUACUCACAUGUUUUUGCUUUUCAAUAAUAUAUUACAACCCGCCAACAAUGCUUAGGGAAAAAACUAGUGCUAAAUCUAUUUAUUAGCUCCGACAAAUCGCCGCUGGUUUGCAUUUUUAAGUGUUAAGCAGGCUUUGAUAUGAUGAAACUGGGAGGCUGGGGACCAAACGAGCUUUGCAUAUUCCUCUAAUCCUAAUGGCAAACUAAUCAUGGUCACAGCACCAGCGUAGUAUGAAUUGGCACUUGUAAAUCGUUGAUACUAACCAUCAUAUAUUGCCAUCUUUUUUGCCUCCACUUCAAACUAGAGUUACGUGUAUGAAUGAAUUGUGACUCAAAGCAUUUUGUGUUCUCUCUGAGAAAAAAAAGAUCAUUUCUCCAAAAUCAUCCUAUCCAUAAUAUGUUUUUUUUCCUAUUUCACCUUAAAGUAACAUCGAUUGUAUCAGAGUUUUCAGUUCAUCUCAUCUGAAUUACCUUUUCCAGUUUUGCAUUGUUGUUGGCAGUUUAUCUGGAAACUGUCGACCACUUCAGAGGAUAAGUGUGAGUAGCAAUUAAUGAUUGUACAUCUGCUAGGACUUAGUGACUAAAUGACCUUUUAGUUUAGGGUUCUCAAAAGAAAGUGCAGUACCUCGAGUUUCCAGUGUGAAUCAUGAGACCCCAAGCUGUUGCUAUGACCAGGAUUGGUCUGCAUUAGGAUUAGAGUAAUAUGCAAGAGCAAGCUCAUGUGGUCCACGAUCUCCCACUUUCCACUACUUUACCUUGAACUAUGGAAUAUUUUGCCUAUUGGAAUUGGUGCUACCCAUGAAUAGAUUUAGUACUGGUAUUUUUCCUAAGCAUUGUUGUCGGGUUGUAAUAUAUAUGUUAUUCAAAAGCAAAAGCAUGUGAGUACUAGUAGUAUAUGCCUCGAGAUUCCACAGGGAGGGCAUGUGAGUUUUUUCAGACCAGUAUAAUGUAUUGAUAUCCACAGUCCACUUAGAUAACUAUAUUCGGCAGCCAAGCUUAGUAGUUGCUAAUCUAUUUACUGGAUGAAUGCUCCUAUUUAACUUACAUCGUUGCCAAUAAGGCAGCCAAUGGGCAGCGCAUUAAUUUCUUCCACAAGCUAGUCUCAACACCAUCAAAAUCAUUCCAGCAACAAAAUCUAAGUAUAAUUGGCACUCUAACCAUCAUAGCCGUCUGCUUAAUUUGCCUCCAUAUAUUUCGAAGGACUAUAUGUAAGUAAGAUAUUCAUCUCUGCAAAGUCGUCCUAUCUGAAUCAGGUUUCUUCUACUUUACCUUGAACUAACCAUCGGUUGUAUCAUAAUUUUCAGUUCAUUUUGCGGUACUUUACAUUUCACCUGAUUUGACUUUUCUGAUUUUUGCAGUUUAUGUUUGGACGAGUAUCAAAUUGCGUGUUACUUUAUGGUUUCACACGUGAAUCUCAAGGUGCUGAUACUGACGAAUUCUCCUAAAGCAGCGUUGGUUCUUGCACAUGGUUUCAUCGUAGAAGAGCCAACACUCCAACAGCAUCAUAUGGGGAUUUUUUUUAUUGUCGACUCUGUAGACUGUGCUAUCUAGUCUGCAUAUUUUUGCAGCCAAGUGAAAGCCUUGAGCUUGUUAUGAACUGAC